rnacentral:lncRNA from 1 species
UUGGCCCAGGCAUCACAUUUGAAGGAAUGCUAGUUCGGGGCAUUAACUGAAAUUGAAGGAGAUCCAAGUAGGUUACUACCAGAUACAUGGAAAGAUCAAAAACAAGCUUUAUAUGGCACAGUAGCAUUUCACAAUUAUAAUUAUACAGUGUAAGGAUAGCAAUUCGCGGCUAUAAUUAUAUACUGUAAGAAUAUCAUAAGCAUAGCGUCUUGAUGAUUUCUGUUCACUACAUACUCAGCACUUUGUAAUUUUAUGCUUUAUGCUAUCAAUUAUCAAACAAUGUCAGUUACUCGAGUUUGUUCCCAAGACUGUAUAAGCUGUUAUUUUUUUAAUCUGUGCUGGUUGUACAAUGUACAAGUGUAUGAGCAAACUAAUACUGGUACUACCUUCCUCUCAGAAGGAAAAAGAAGCAGAACAACUGAGGCUUGAAACAUACCAUUAUAUAAAACUAUUCUGAAUUAUACUAAACAAACGGUUACAGUGAUAGAUAGUAGAUAGUAUCAAGAUCCCCUUAGCACUUUAACAAAUGUAAUAUCUUUUUAAGUAUUGCCAAAAGGCAACAAAAUAGAAGAAGCUCUUGCAGAAAAGGGAUUAUGAAAUGGCACUGACCAUUCUGCCUUAUAGAGACAUUACACUCUGAUCUAACUAUUGGACCUUGAAAGAUAGGCCCAUGAUAACAUGAAGACAAUACUAGAACCCAUGUGAAUGCCCUUCUUCUUCAUCAACGUUAUUCAAAGGCCAAAACACUUGAAUAAAUCAGAACUGACUUGCAUGCCUCCAACAAAUCAUGGAUCUGAACUUGGUGCUCCCUCUUCAAGAGAUAAUUCACCAGCAAUCUUCUCCCAAGCAACUUUAGCAUCCCCUUUCACAAGAAAGCUCAUCUUAGCAACAACACCCUUGGCCUCUGCAGACCUCCCUCCCUUGACCAACCCCUCGACUAAACCCUUGACAGCCUCAAAUGAUGGGGCUGCCUUCAUUGCAAAGCAGCUGUUACAAAGCCACAGUGCAUCAUCAAGCCUUUCCUUCUCUACCAAACUCUUAAACAGCAGGACAUAUGUCUGCGAGUGCACCGACACUCCCAAGUCACUCCUCCCCUCCCGCCUCUUCAUCACCUUCAUCCUCUUGAAUACUCGCAUGGCGGCCCCGGCAUUCCCCUCCUUGCAGUACCCCUGCACAAGCGCAUUGUAAGUAACGUAAUUGGGCAGCACGCCUUUUGACUCCAUCACAUCGAGCAGCUCCUCGCCCUUGAAGGUUUCCCCCUUCCUUGCAAACCACCGCAUCCGGCAAUUGUAUGUGACGACAUUAGGCUCCAGCUUGUUCUCAUUGAUUUCCUUGAGCAGCUUCUCAAACUCCUCGGCAUCGUCCUGCUCGGAGAACCCAGCGAGGAGAGUAUUGUAGGAUAUGAUGUCCGCGGGCGGGCGAUGCUUAAACUUCUUCUUGGCCAUUUCGUUGAGCAGCUUGCGGGCAGCGGGUAGCUCAGAGCUCUUGACCAGAGCGUGGAGGAGCACGUUGUGGGAGGCGCGGCCAGGGGCGACGCCGAGCGAGGACUCGGCGGAUUUGAAGGUUGACUUGAGGUCGUCGAUGCGGCCCGCGCGUAGAAGCGCGGAGAGGAGGGCGGAGAGUGAGACAUCGGAGCGGGCGGCGGGGGCGGAGGAGGAGAAGGCACGGACGGCGUCGUCCGGGCCCGGGAAGAGGGAGAGGGCGCGCGCGAGGAGGCCGGGGGAGACCGGGGCGGAGGCGAGGAGCUGGUCGAGGAGGGAGGCGGCGAGGUCGGGGCGGUGGAGGCGGUCGAGGCGGGAGGCGGCGAGGGAGAAGAGGUCGCGCGAGGUGUGGAGGCGGUGGNNNNNNNNNNNNNNNNNNNNNNNNNNNNNNNNNNNNNNNNNNNNNNNNNNNNNNNNNNNNNNNNNNNNNNNNNNNNNNNNNNNNNNNNNNNNNNNNNNNNNNNNNNNNNNNNNNNNNNNNNNNNNNNNNNNNNNNNNNNNNNNNNNNNNNNNNNNNNNNNNNNNNNNNNNNNNNNNNNNNNNNNNNNNNNNNNNNNNNNNNNNNNNNNNNNNNNNNNNNNNNNNNNNNNNNNNNNNNNNNNNNNNNNNNNNNNNNNNNNNNNNNNNNNNNNNNNNNNNNNNNNNNNNNNNNNNNNNNNNNNNNNNNNNNNNNNNNNNNNNNNNNNNNNNNNNNNNNNNNNNNNNNNNNNNNNNNNNNNNNNNNNNNNNNNNNNNNNNNNNNNNNNNNNNNNNNNNNNNNNNNNNNAGAGGCGGCGGAGGAGGUGGGCGGAGACGGCGGAGGGGUGGGGGUGGCGGCGGCGCAGGAGGGACGCCAUGGUGAUUGGUGAGUGAGCACGGGGUUUGCGAGGGUUUGGGCCUUGCGUUUGAGGGGACUUCCCCUUUCUGCUGCGGAAGCUUGCACAACUGCUCUACAGUCUGCCUGCAGCACUAGUCCAUUUCACCCAAAAAAAAACUAUGAAGGCCUCAUACCAUUUUGGUUAACCUGAAAUUGUUUUAAAAAAACCUAAAAUUGAACUUAAAUAAGAACCGUAUUAGAUUGAUCGUCGUUGUUUUAAAUCCGAGCAGCAGGGUUAUGAAUUUCAGAUGUUUUGACAGCCGACGAUCCGUUCCAUUUCGCGCAUAAAUCAGUGAUUGGUAGAGUGUUUUUUCUGUUCAAAAUGAUAUUUGGAACAAAGGAAUAGCUCAUAAUGGGGGUUUUUAAUUACUUUAUUAUUUGUUUAGUUGCUAAUUGUGUGCUUAUUUAAAAUUUCUAUUAGAUGAGCUAUUGUUCGACCAAAAUGUUCGAGGAAUACAAACAUGAGAAUGAGAUCAUGCCACCCCAUGGGCAUUUUCUGAAGUUGGUGCAUAUUUCUUCUCUCUUCAUAUGGUUUUAUGAAUUCAAGUGUGAAGUAAAAAACACCUUCCUCGCCGUUUUUUGUUUUGAAACUCCUCGCUGCUCUUGCUCUAUGCUUCGUUUGUAUGGUGCAGGUACAUGGUUACAGGUGAAGUCUGCUGGCAAGAGCAGGCCAACACUUUGCUUCAAGUGAAACAAAAUAGCACAUUAACAUGGCAUUCUUUUUGGAAGACAACUCGAUGUAUUUCAUCAACUUUAGAAAAUUUAUUCUUUCACAACAAAAGAACUGAAGAUAUCCAUAUCGCAACAGCCAACAAUGUGACAUGGCAGCAUAAAAUGGCACCAGGAAGGGGGUUGCGGAACAGUUGAGUUCUUGCUAUCAAAACUGGUGAUGAUAACUCAAGGCCAUUUUGUUACACAGACAAGGGGUCCUGAACAACCCAAGAGGAAUAACCAGGGAGGUACACAAGUGGAUGUUUCUAAAAGUUACCUCCGCCUCGGCGGAUCAGAGGACCUGCGUUGUUGUCGUUGUUGUCUGGCAUCGGUAUCCGGUUUCUCUGUGUCCGGCUGUUUGAGCUUUCUCACCAUAUCAUCCGCAUAUCGCCACCACAUUGACUCUCGAUCUUUGCUUGCCACUUUGCUGUACCUUGGAUCAGAUCUUAGAAGGUCUUUUGCUUCGCUCCAAGAGAUAACCACAGUCUUUCCUCCUUCCGUCGUCCGAGUUGCUGCGUCUGGGGCAAUCGCCUCAGACAGAAGUGCCUUGAAGUCACGGACACAACGCUGCAGGGAAAUUAUAGGAACAUCAGGUCAGGUCAAAAGCAUACCAUAAUUUAAGCAUGCAAGCUCAGAUGAUACAUAUCGCGGCCAAAAUGCUACCACGUCUGCUUAAACAAAGAGGAUAUAUUGAAGUACUCCCUCCGUUCCAACAUAGAUGACUCAACUUUGUACUAACUACGGAGGGAGUAGCAGUGACCCAAGCAUUGAAGCUCAAACAUAAAUACAUGAGAUAAUUCCAUCCAUAAAGACUUCCAUACAAUAGUUCAUGUGAAUCUGCUGAAUAUUUUGGCAAAUUCCUCUGUCAAAGAAAAUGAUUGGAACAGGCCAACAGGCUCAGAGAGCCCAAGAAGCAGACCCAAUAAGCAAGCAGCUAGCACACCAGAGAGUUAGAAUUUUUAUUACAGUAGCUACAAAGGACCACCAUAGUAGGAAUAUACCUCAUAUAAGUCCUUGACAUGUUCACGGAAUAACUUCUCGGCCUCACCUUGGCCUAAGUCCGGAUUUACAGCACGACCUUGCGGAUCCUUCUCAAGUUUUCGUUUGGAUUCAGCCCAUGAUGCCUAUGGAACAAAAACAACAUAGUAUGUCAGUUUAUAUUUUGCAAAGAGGCAACAUGCCAAUAAUCAAAAGUGAGUGUAUCCUAAUAUAUCAAAAGGAACUCACUAAGGAGCAAAAGAAACAGAUCGGCUGAACGUAAAAAAAGUACUAUGACAAGUACUCCCUCUGUAACGAAAUAUAAGAGCAUUUAGAUCACCAAAGUAGUGGUGAUCUAAAUGCUCUUAUAUUUCUUUACAGAGGGAGCACUUAAGACCAAGAAGCAUGUGCAGUUAAAUAAAGAAUAAAUAAGUCAACCAAAUCACCUUUGGAUCUUUUAUAGUUUCAACAAGCAAAGCCUGAUACGAAGAUGUGGCAUCUUUUCUUCGGAUCUUCAAUUUUACUCUCUCCAUUUCCUGCUCUUCCCUUUCUUUCCUUUUGCGAGCUUCGCGUUCCCUUUCCCUUAAUUUGGCCUAACAAUGCAUACCACAGUAUGUGUGAAACCACACGCGAUAAAUAAAGCAUCGUACAGUUCAUCAGCUAAGUUGACAUACUUGUUCAUCCACUUUGGCCUUUGCAGCUUGCUCCACUUCCCGUUCAGCGGAUUUAAGUUCUGCUAUGUAUUCAUUAAAAGCAUUCUCUCUCUCUUCGUGCUUUACAGCUUUGUACCUUGGAUCACUCCGGAAAUUUUCUUUCACCUGUAUGCAGUAGUACAAUCCAUUAAAGAAAUGACAGAUCAAAAUUACAUAAAAUUGACAGAUCAAAAUCACAUACUCCUACAACACUAUACAAGUUUGACCCAAGUAAACAAUCGGCUGUUUUAUAUGAAGUUCAGAAGGGAAGGGACUGUUGUAGGGUCACAAUUGGUUCACACCAGCUAAACACAGUGAUGUCAUGCCAUGUCAAUGUAAACGCCGGAAAGAUGAAACCUGUCCAUGUGAAGAUAUAUGGCUAACGUAUGAAACAGACGAUCAUACUUCGGUAAAGCACAUCCAGAUGAUUACCGGUUAGUGGCAACUAGAAAACAGGCAUCAAAAUGGCAACUUUAAAUCACAAACUUUCACUAGACAAUACGGCUCCCUAUGUCAGAGCCUCAGAGGCAGCUGUUUGACUUGGUCUAUUGCUAAGUUUCAACUUUCCAGAAGAAAUGGGCAAAUCGACAAGUUACACAAAUCGUGUUACAAAAUAUCAUGAGUACACAAUAAUUUAAGUUUCACAAUAGGAGAACGAACCCAUUACUGCUGUCAAUAUUAGAAGAUAACAAAAUGAAAUAAUCUCUCUUUAAUCUAAAAUUGAUUCCUCGUCCUGGAUCCAACUCAAAAAAUCCUGGAUCCACGUCAUUCCAAACAUAGCCAACUACCGUCUCCACUGGAACUGCCGUGUCACUCCACUAACUAUCGCGUCUAAUCAUGUGCUAAACCCUCAAGCCGCCGCUUCACACCAUACUGCCUAUACCUCUCACUGUUCUUUUGUUUCACAAACAAGGAGCAACACUCAAAUUUUCGUUGACGGUUCAUCGAUCUGCAGCUGCCACUUCUGUCAAUAUUGGAAGCCUUUGGGGCCGCGUGCGUAGGGUAGCACAGGGAAGAGCGUCCAAGCGGCGAUAGACACAGAGAAAGCCGUGCACAUCUGUGCCUGGUUGUAGAUGCCUUCAGAUGCAAAGCCUGACCCUGCGCUGCCGGCAAGUAACCCAAGGAAGGAAGAUGGGGUAUAUUACGAAGAUGGGCGGUUGUUCAAAAAUGAUGCAUUGUUAAACAUUACUCCCUCCGUCCCAUAAUAUAGGACGUUUUUUUAUACUAGUGUAGUGUCAAAAAACGUCUUACAUUAUGGGACGGAGGGAGUACUAUUUGGUUUCUGCCAGAAUUCAUCACAUCUUGAUGAAGCAAUUUUCUAGCCCCCAACCAACAUUCCCUUUACGAGGGACUGAUUGAGCCUAUGCAGUGUUCGCCGUACAGCCUUAUUGAUUGUGUUCAAGUCAUAUCUCUAAUCCAAAUAUGCGAACGUGUACUGUGCAACUUAUGAGCAAAUGCUUUGAUUUAGGCAUAUUAUAUUAUUAUAACAUACCCAUCUCUCAAAUUGCUUACUGACCAGUCGCUGCCUCAAGGAAAACACGGGAAUAAGACUAUCUUCACACAGAGAAGAAAGAUAAUAAUAUAGACUAUCUUCAUCACCAUAACGCAUUUUUUUCUUAGUGUGGUAAAAGAAGAAAAAAUGAUGAGAGCACAAAAUAACUGACUUAUUUUAUUGCAAUACAAAUACAAAUGUCUAUACUAAUCUGUAAGUGCACGUAACAGAAUAUCAAUAUAUCAUCACAAGGCAGAUUAUCAUAUUUUACAUAAAUCAGAUGUGCCUUCUUUGUCAUUUAAUCUUGACACGAGAUAUGUAGUGAAAUGAGUACAAGGAACUUACUUUGGUCCAACGGCUAGUUGGGAUUAUAUCUUUACAUUCUCGAAGCAUUGAUUUGAAGUCAGUUAUGACAGCAUUUCGCGCUGAUUGAACUUUCUCUUCAAGAGCCCUCACCCUGCUCAAACAUUUGAAAAUGUGUCAAGUAAAUGUUGAUAACCCAAUGAUUUGAUUCGAAAGACGAAACUGAAAUUCAAUAACAUUAAUAUAAAAGUAGGUGGCCAUACUUCUCCUUGAAAAGAGCCUCCCUUUCUUUUUUAUCCAAGGCUGCAAAUCUUGGGUCAGCACCCCAUUUUCUUUCGAAAUCCUGGUAACCUGUUUUCGAAUCAAUGCCCUGCAAUUUAUGUAUUAAGGCAUGACAUUCAAGAAAGCAGCAGUUGCAAAAAUAAGCAGCCAUCGGAUGCCCUAAUUUAAAGGAAAACCUCAACUUGUAAAAUGAAUUAAUAGCAAUUAGUGAACCUCAGAUGCUUCUUCUAAUAGCUGUUUAUAUGCCUCAACGGCAGCCUUCUGAGCAGCUCUCUUCUCUUUUCGUUCCUCGUCAGCACGUGUCCGAACAAAGUGGUCAAAUAUAGCCCGUCUAGUCGAGUGACUUGGAAUAGCCUGUAGUGGGGCAAUCUACAGUUAGUAUCAUUCGAAUAUAGAAUUACUGCUGUAAAGCUAAUAGUAGCAGCAGGCAAACCAAAAGAAAAUAUAUUGUACUCCCCCCGUUCCAUAAUUCGUGUCGGACUAAAACCACGACAAGAAUUAUGGAACAGAGGGAGCGCCUUACUACAGUAAUAAGCAUUAUAAGUAAGUUUCAUGUACUCCCUCCGGUCCUUUUUAGUUCGCAUAUAAGAUUUGUCCGAAGUCAAGCCUCGUAAAGUUUGACCAACUUUAUAGAAAAAAAUACCAACAUUCACAAUAUGAAAUCAAUAUCAAUAGAUGUGUGAUGACUUAUAUUUUCAUUUUGUAUAACUUUAGCAUGGUAGAUGUUGAUAUUGUUUCAUAUAAAUAUGGUCAAACUUUAUGAAGUUUGACUUCAGACAAUUCUUAUAUGCAGAAUAAAAAGGACCGGAGGGAGUAAUUCAUGUAUGACAAGUAAUCACUACUUCUACUUAAGCAGGAAGAAAUACAAUUUAGGGCCUACUUUGGAAAAGGGCAAAUUUAGUAUGAUCCUUUCUGAACAUACAGUGUAGCGAUCAGCUAAUCAUAAUUGAUGUACUCCAACAUGAGGUUUUGCUUGGAGCCUUGGAUACAACAUAACCAGGAUUAGAAAAACAGAGCAUAAAUGGGCAGUUUGGCAUUUGCUAUGCUGUGCAGCAUUGAGCUGCUGAAUUUAGUUACUUAUGCAGAAUCUUUCCUGAUUCGAGUAAACUUAUUGUUAUGGCUCUAAAGAAGAGGUUACCACAACCAAAAGUAGUAACACAGAAGCUACUUAAUGAUAAACCAGAACCACAAGCACAGAGAACACAGAUUCUCUAAAUGAGUAAUCGCUGUAAUUUGAACACAGAUCACAAUGAACUAGGUUCGUCAGUUUUUUUCCAGUUAGAAGAACAGGAGUUAGCCUCGAACAGCAGAUACUUAUAAGGACACUUUAGAGUUUACCUUUAACUGCAAUCACAGUAAAUCUACAGACAUAACCACCAAUUACAGUAUCAAUUCAAUUACAGAAAGAAAGCACUGACUUUGCAUCAUUGGAACUUGAACCAAGUUGGAUAGCUACGGUUAUUUAUUUUGUUAGGAUUAGGAAACUAUAUCACUGCCUUGAAAGGGGAACACCUGGUGCAGAAGGAACAAAGAAACAAAAAGAUCCUUGAGAUCAUUGGUCAGCAUUCACUUUGUUAUCCUUGUGACAAAUGAUAAGUCAAGAUAUGUUCAGGCUCGCUCUGGUCUUCGGCCAAGAAUAAACAGAAAAGCAUAUAAACGGUUAGGUGUGUCAUUCUCAAUAUUCAGUCAUGCAGAAAAUCCAACAGUCCAUUUAAAAGUUUCUAGUAUUUCAAUGAAAACCAUCUGAAUCAAAACUUCUCUUUGUGCACUAUGCGGGAGCUCUCCUCUUUCAUACUACUAUAGCACUCGGCAAUCAGAACUCUACGCAUAAACUACUUGGAAGAAAGAUAAUGCACCCAUACAAGUAGAAAUCAACUAUGAAAAAUCCUACAUGGAGAGGGAGUGUCCCUGUUGGCCACAAAUGAUAGUAUGGAAGCAGGAGUACGGUCACAAACUUGGCAAACCUUAAAGAUCUCAUGAAAGGCUAUAAUGACCAAUUUCACAAACCUUAAAUCGUGAAUCGAAUACUAUUUUUGGCAGUUCCUUCUCCCACUUUGAAAAUGGUGCUACUCCUCGUUCCUUUAGCAUUUUCUGUGAAAGUUAAAAAUGCAUCCAUGUCAUGUUAUUACUUCACAGCACCAACAAGAAUCAGCAAGUUUCAUAAAUAAACAAUUUGCAUUCAGUUAUCUUGGUUCCGAAUAACAUAAAGUAGACAAAAUUUCGCCUUGCCAAAAACAUGAAAUAGCAUAUGGUUACAUAAUACAAACGAAUUGAAAAGGCAUCAAAGUUCAUUGUCUUAAACUAGCAUUUCAGGGAAAACCAAAUCUUGUGGAGGAGAAAAAAGCUCCCUCGACAUCUAUUCUGAAAUUCAAAAUAACAUCAUGAAAAUUACCUUAAACUCACGAAUACAAUCCUCUUUACUUGGUCCAUGUUCCUCAUCAUCUGAAUCUGAAGAGGAAUCUGACAUAUUUUCAUUGCCAUUGUUAUCCUUUGAUUUCUCACCAUUUUUUGAACCUUGCUGUUCCUUAGGUGCACCAUCAGCUGGUUUAGAUCCAUUCAACUCGGAUGCACUAGAUGAAGGAGUAGCAAGAGGAGAGGACACACUGAAAGCACCAGCGUCCUGCAAUUUCUUCUUUAUCAAAUCCAAAGCAGAAGGCGAUGCAGGGGCAACUGUUUGCCGAAGCGGCAACGAAUCACGGCCACCUGUCUGUAUGGCAGGAGUACUUAUUUCACCACUCGCCUCUCCCUUAUUUGCUACUGUGCCAGCAUCCUGCAGUGAAGUUGAACUUCCUUUCAAGUUGCCAGAAUCAGCAUUCUUGUUGAGUUCAGCCACCUCUGGCGGAAGUUGCCAGCUGCUAACCUGUUCAGCAUCAGAAUUAAGCCAUAUACUAUUAGCAAAUUCAUGCGAUACUGGAAGGCUACCCCACUAACCCAAUGUAGUAUAUGUGCUGAGCUUCAAAACCAUCAUCAAGCACAUACCUUUUGUUUAUUGUCGUAGUAAUAUUUCUUUCCAUCACUUGUAGUUACUAUGCUCCAGUCUGUGCCAGCAAUUUUGUCCCUGACAAAGUGAAAAAAUGUAAGGUCCGUGAAACACUAUUUGUGGGCAUGCACAGAAAAACAAAUUGGCAUGUUUAUUCAGGUGAAGAGCAAAAGACCAAAGAGGAUAAAAACAUUCAUAACAAUGGCAGCUUCCAGAAAUUUACAUGCAUGUUUGGAACACGCUAGAAAGCCAUUCAAUUAUUACAGGAGUCUGCAAAAAUUCAUAUAUUCCUUGCAGGGCCUACAUAGGGUUGGUCCUGACAUGCAGAAGUGCAUUUAUGACAAUAUCUUAGAUGGGUAGUAUGGUACCAGAUAUGGACAGGGUGCAUGGAAGCUUUGCUAUCCAUGUGCCAGAACCAUGAGUUGGUUGCGAGAUCUUAUGGGUUCCACCUCUAGCCUACCCCAACUUGUUUGGGACUAAAGGCUUUGUUGUUGUUGUUGUUGGGUAGUAUGUUACCAAUCUAGAUGGACAGGAAAAGUUGUUCAACAACAUCUCAAACAUUGAUAUUUCGCUGGAUAAUACUGCAAUCAUAUUGAGCUGGAAUACAACAAAUAAAACAUGUGAAAUCAUGCCAGAUAAUACAAGAAAACUAAAUAUCCUGCCUUGUGGCACCAAUAUCAAAAUGUAAACAAGAGCAGGCCGUUCUUUUACACUACUCAUAAUUGCAUUUUGUGGUUUAUACUUUAUACUCCCUCCGUCCGGAAUUACUUGUCGUAUAAAUGGAUGAAAAUGGAUGUAUCUAGAAUUAAAAUACAUCUAGAUACAUUCAUUUCAACGACAAGUAUUUCCGGACGGGGGGAGUACUAUUUACCGAUCAUCCAACAUUUAACAAGACCUUAUAAUUAGUUGCUGUGCACAUUAUCAUCCACAGGAAAUUGUAGGUACAAGAUGUUUCGUAAAACGCCUAAGAGUAUAGAAGUGGGACUGAUCAAAUUCAAGAAGGUUCUUACAACCCUCAUAUGCCAACAUAAAAUUAGCCGAAGUAGCACAGGGUAAAAUGAGCAGUUGCACGACAUACCAAGAAGCUGGAACUGGUUGAGCUGCAACCUUCUCGAGCUAUAGCAGAACAGGAAAAAUGAGUUAGUUACAUUGUGGUGCUAAAUUGCCAUGUCACAGACUAGAAUGAAGUUAUAUUACUUGAUAAAGCUAUUCUUCGUGCAACUACCUCCCCCUUAUAACCAGGUGGUCUUUGAUAAGUUGAUUCCCCUGUCAAGGCAUUGUAAUAAUAUAGAACACCGGCUUCUGUUUUGUGUGCAGACCAUGUAUCUGAAUCCUGAACUCCGGCCGUACUUCUGUCCUCCAGCCCUUCAGCAUUCCACAUAAAUCAUAAGAACUGGAGAAUUAACAGGAACACCAAGACUCAACACGAACAUCAGCUCCAGUAAAAAGAAUACCUGUUGGAUGUUGUUCAACUGAAGUAUGAAUGGACUGCACAGAUCCUGGAUUUACGGAUGGUUGUUCUUUGGGAUCACCAGUUGUAAUGCCUGGUGGUUGGAUGUUGGGCAAGGAUGUAGUCACAGAAGAAGUUCCAACCAUUGGUGCACCAAGAGGUCCAAGAGAGCCCGGUGGAUAUGAAUGGAAGGGAGCCUGCUGAAAGCCAGUAGGUUGUGGAGGAUAUCCCCAUAAAGGUUGAGGUGGAUUACCAGGCGCUGAAGGAUAGGAUGGAUAAAACUGUUGCUGAGUUGCCCGUGGAACAGCACCUGGUGCAGCACCUGAUGGCGAUGUUUGAGGCAAAGAUGGGGCUGGACCUGUAGGCCUCUGAAGGAGGCUUGGUGGAGUUGACAAGUUUGAAGGACGUUGUCCAGGUGCAGAACCCCCAACAGCCCCAAAUCCCUCAGGACGAGGUGGCAGUGACUGCACUGUAUGGGGACUUACCUCUGGGGCACUUGGGGCAUCCGACUUGGAAGCACCAACAUCCAGGUUACCCUGUAAUAAUUCAAAAAAAUAUUAGUGCCUCAUUGACAAGAUUCAAGCAUAUGGGAGCAAGCCAAUCGAAGCAUGCAGUGCUAAAAAAAAGCUGGAGGGCUCAGGGGUCAGGACUGUGCCUGUUGUGGGUUUGCACCAUAAAGAAUAUUGGGCGUCCUAGGUGGCACUGGAAAUGGCAACCGAAUAGAUGCAGGAGGAUUUGGUGCCAUAGGUCCAGGGAAUGGUGCACCUAGGCGAGGCAAUUGCCCAGGAGCAGGAGGUUGCAAGGAUGCUGGUGGAGCAAACAUAGGGACUUGGACAGCAUGGUUUGUCCUCUGAAAGAAAAGGUGGCAUUAAAUGUUAGUGCGUUACAGAAGAGGAUCGGUUCAUUAAAAACUAAUAACAAGAACAAUAGUAAUGCUAGUAAUAAUAAAGCCAUGAGAAAUUACAGUGUCAAGUUGAAACUGCUGACCAGUAGGCAGGCUAGCAUUGGCAUGUGAGACUACAUUAUAUGAGAAAGAAGGCCUGUUCCCAAAAUACUGCCGUGGAGCUGGUGGCUGGAGAGCCGCUGGAGGCAUUGGACGAGCCAUCGGAGCCUGGAAAGGGAGAAUGGUAAGAAUACUAGUUAUGAUAAUCUAACUUGAACAUCGUUGAGUUGCUUUGCAGCGAUCAUAAGUUUAGGUGUCAAUAGUCGAAUUUCUUUUACUCCUUUAUUAAAUGUUGCAGAAGCAGGAUGCAAAAGCCAUGUACGUUUAGUUCCAUUAAGAAUUUUCACUUGACUAAUCAUGAAGGCUAUAGAAAUGAAACAUGCAGCAGGUUUAUUACUGAUUGAAUAGGCUUCUAGGCAUUCAUAUGAAAAUUUUAGAAUUCUUUAUGCAAAGGUUCACGUCAGACGUCCGUGGACCGUGAUAGAGAAAGGUAACCUAUCUGUGUUUUCCGUCAGAUGAAAAAUCAAGCCAAAGAAUGUUUACCAAAUGAAGGUCAAAAACAGUGCAGCAGGCAUAACAUCAAAGUUUCAACAUAAUUAUGCAACAUAGUAACAUACACCUAAAAGAACAAUUUAUUUGACAAAAGCAUGAACUAGGCAUUCAUGUUGAAGCUAACAGAAACAAACAAAUUGUCGUUUUUUUAACCGGAGUGAUAUAUGACCCUCUUGGCAGGAGGACUAAAGUAGGAUUAUAUAUCAGUUUGAAAUUACUAAGUUCAGAGUGUCCCUACAUAAACAAUACAACGGACAGGCUUCUGCAAUCAAAAAUUGCAUCACAUGUCAGCGGCUCGGCACCUAUCAUCAGAACUAACCAAAAUAUAUUCCCCGGCAAUGAUAGCACCAUGUAUCCUUUGAACAAAAUUACAGCAUUGCAUAUGCGGAUCAUACAACAAAAUGCAUGAGAGAAAAAAAUUUCUUAAAUGAACGUCUGUUAAUAGUUAGGUUAAGCAUAUAAGUUGAAGAAAGGGAUAGGAUACUGAUACUCUACCGGAGCGGAAGCUAGCUGCUGGUGGGCCAAACCGCUGCCCAUAUGCUGCGGGGGCGGCGCCCUGGGCAGAACGUUGUAAGAGAACGCGGGCGCCGGAGACGACGCCGGAGGCGCCAUGUACGCCGGCGAGCCAGCGAACUGCGGCCGCGGCGGCCGCGGCCCUGGAGCGGCAGCCGAGGCAGGGGAAGCAGGCGGCGGUAGCACUGCGGCACUCGAGGUGGAGGUGGAGGUAGGAGUGGUAGCGGGCGGGGCAUCCCCAGCUGCCACCUCUUCCACCGCUGGGGCCGCCGCAACGGCGCCAAGAUCGGAUGCUUCCCCUGGUUCCGCCACUGGGGCAGCUUCCUCAGCCCGAGAUGGCUCAUGCUGCGGGUUGGCACCGUCGGAGGCGACCACCUCCGGCGUCGCCAUGGGAGUAGAGUGUGGCCUAGGGUUUUGUGAGGCGAACGGGGCCGGACGGGCGUCGCGAGAGAGAAGCAGCCAACGGAUGAAGAGAAAAUUAGACAGAGCGGAAUCUUUGAAUGGACCGUGGGUACCCGUAAUCAGGCUUGGGCUCGGCAGCACCUGAAAGGCCCACAAUCUUGCGCCAUGACCCUCCGCUAUCUAGGGUCCGUUUGGUUUUGUUUAGAAAAAACUAGGGUCCGUUUGGUUCGGGGGUUUGGUUUGGAUGGGUGUGGAUAUCCCCGCCUCACAAGGGAUAGCCUCUUUUUCCUUACGGAUCAACCAAUUGAUUAAUUAGUCGCGUCGUGAGCCAUCGGAUUCGUCCCUUCACAGACAUUGGAUCAGUCAAUGCAUGGCGCAUCGCCCUCAUCCCAUCACCUCUAGCCGCAUCGAAGCAAAAAAACAAGUGUAGCCGAAGGAAAGCAGUGUCACCCAGCUCAUAGGAACGGCAGCGCAACGAUCGUCAUUGUGGCGCCAACACUGGCUCAGCGGCGCUCCAUCACAGCCCGUCACAACAUCGACGAAAAGCCGGUGAUGCUUCAUUGCAGUGCCACACCGGCAUAACGGUGCUCAGCACCGACGGCUCGCCGCAGCUUCAUCGCAGUGACGGAAGUCGGCGGUGUUUCAUUGCACCUCCGACAAAGGAGCGGUGGUGCUCCCAUUGGUUGCAACAUUGAUGAGAUCGAGCACUCCCUAACUCCGGCGGACAUGCUCCCAACUCCACUACUCGGGGCUCACAGCACGCCUCCAUUCACAGCAAGGCUGUGAAGGCAAAAAAGACGGAAUCACGAGGCGAGGUAGAAGGAGAUGGAUUCAUGAUGGAAGAAAAAAAAUGUGAGGUGAGGACGAAGGUAGAAUAAAGGGGAAAGGGAAAAGCAUAAGGCGUGUGUGCAUUUGGGGCCCACGUGGGACAAACGUCGAUAGGACGAGGUGAUUUACGCGUUGUGUGGAUCAGCUGGUUCAUUUGAGCACUUUUCCUUUUUUGGUUGGUUGAGUAGGGUGAUAGGUGGUUGGAGAUAGCCAAGUAUGUGUUUGGUUUGAUGGAUGAGUGGUGGAUAAAAAAUGUGAAAAUAGUAACUGGUGAACGUUUGCCAAUGAGAAACUGUCAGUGAACGCCCUACUUGGCACACGAUCUUGAUCCUACGGUGCAAUUUGGAUGACUUUUUUACACUCAAAAUUAAAAAAAUGCCAUUGCAGUUUUGCGAACCACCCAAGUUCUCUAAAUACAUUGAAACUACCAGAGUAACGUUCGCAAAUGCCAUCUCUCGUGGCCAACGUUUAUCAGAUAUGCCAACCCUAAAAGUUAUGAUGAGCUUUUCUUAUUGAGGUUGUGAUAUUGCCAUAUAAGUGCAUCGCCAAGGCGGGCCCUCAAACCACCCACAUACAUCUAGGUCGCGUUGUCUGGACACGGUUUGCCAUCCAACGCGGGCCUGUAUAGGUCCACCGAGCGGCCUGGACGUACUUUUUCCAGCAAACCCGAGACAAACGUGGGGCCUUGCGGGAGUCCAGACAUGAGCCACGUAGGACUCUGACACCCCCGGCCCACCCAAAAACCCUUCCCGGACCCACGCCUCCAUCCUCCUCAUUUUCUCUCCUUUCUUUUUUCUCUCCUACCUUUGUCGCCGCUCCACCACCCCGGCCUCCACGCCACACCCCUGCGGGAACUUUACGUCUCCGUCAUCUCCAGCGUUCCAGCCGGGCUCUACCCCGCUUCUCCUAAGUAGUUGUUCAACUUCUCUCCUCUGACCGCCUCGCCAGGUACCAUCCACUACUGCUAUACUCACCAUGCCCCCGCACUUGUUCGAUGAAUUAUUUGAAGCUAGAAAAUUUGUCCCUUCUUCUUUCAGGCAAUGGAAUCUGACUUGGAGUACAUAUACGAGAACUAUGUUGAGUCGUCUGACGAGGAGAACUACACAAAUGAGACGGUGAUGAUGCAGGCGGUCCUUGAAGACGUGGAGCGUGCAGUGGAUCAUGUUAGAUAAGCUUCGUCUUUCAUCUAUCAUUGAUGAUUUAGAAGCUUUGGCGGAGGUUAGACCUCUACCUGAGCAUGAAAUGGAGAUCAAGAGUCAUUCGAAUGCACAGAUAGCUAGGCUGCUGCGUGAAGAGGAACUCAUGUGCUACCAACUUUGUAACUCCCAAUUUAUCCUGAAAGGCGAUUCGAAUAGUAGAUAUUUCCAUGGAAUCGCCAAUGGCAGACACCGGAAAAAAAUUAUUCAUUCCUUACAACAGGAUGAGGGCAUGAUUGAGGGGUAUGAGCAACUUAAAUCUUAUAUCACUAAUUAUUAUAAAAAAUUAUUUGGAGCCCCAGAGGAAAGAAACUUCUCUAUGGAUGAGUCUGAAACAGAUGACAUCCCGCAUGUCUCUAAUGAGGAAAACGGCCUUCUAACAGCCCCAUACUCUGAGGAAGAAAUUAGAAAUGCGGUUUUCCUAAUGGAGCACAACAAAGCCCCGAGACCAGAUGAUUUUCCCUCUAAGUUCUAUCAUAACUUUUGGGAAGUCAUCAAACCGGAUCUCCUGCUUUUGUUUAGCGACCUAUAUGCCGACCAACUAGAAUUGUUUUGCUUAAACUUCAGCGAGAUUAUUUUAUUACCUAAGGUUAAUGAGGCUGAAAGGAUACAACAAUAUAGACCUAUUUGCCUCCUUAAUGUUAGUUUAAAAUAUUCACGAAGGUUGCGACUAUUAGGCUAAAUUCGGUUGUUGAACACGUGAUUCGUCCUUCACAGACUGCAUUUAUGCAAGGCAGACACAUCCUAGACGGAGUUGUUACCCUUCAUGAAACAGUCCAUGAAUUACAUCGGAAAAGGUUGAAUGGGAUGAUACUCAAAAUAGACUUUGAAAAAGCUUAUGACAAAGUCAAAUGGCCAUUUCUUCAACAGACUCUCAUAAUGAAAGGAUUUUCUGUAGAGUGGCGUGCUAUGAUCCAUAGCUUUGUUUCUGAAGGUAGUGUUGCCAUUAAGGUCAAUGAUGAUGUUGGACACUAUUUCCAAACAAAGAAGGGAUUGCGACAAGGUGACUCGAUAUCGCCCAUGCUAUUCAAUAUAGUGGCGGAUAUGCUAGCGGUCAUGAUUGAGCGUGCCAAGGUUGAUGGCCAAAUUGAUGGGGUCACUAUGCAGGAUGCUGCUAACGCGACAUUACGAUCAGAGACCCUUUGACGAAAUUGUGUGCGAUGCAUUAAUCGCAAACAGUGAUGUAAAAUAACCGUCAAAAAAGAUGCAAAACAUUUGCGAUGGGGGAUACAUCAAACACGGUUCAGAUUUUAGUUGUGUGUGCGAUGCGGGGCAUACGGUUCAGUUCAAUGAACUAUUUGCGAUGAGGUAGAACAAAAGAAACGGGCAGUCAGAUCAAGGCGUGUGCGAUAUACAACAUACAGUUCACUCGGAUAAACUGUUUGUGAUGAGGCGGAACUACAGAAACGGGCAGCUAGAUGAAGGUGUGUGCGAUAUACGACAUAUAGUUCACUCGGAUGAACUGUUUGCGUUGAUCCAAGAGAACAGAAACGGUUCAACUUAACAAUAUGUGUGUGAUACGCGGCAAACAGGUCUAUAAUCGGAAACAUGUGGGAAGACCGAUCACAACACAGACGAUUCCUGUUAACAAGCCGUGUGUGUUGUGAGCAAACGAUUGCUGGUAUACAAUUGUCAGUGAUUGAUGAAAUCAUCACCAACGGGUUCCAUUGUUUAGUCCGUGUGCGAUGUGAUUUUCUCUGUCUAUAGAGCAUCAACAUAUAUACUUAAAAAGACAGCAUUGCAAAACCAAAUUAAGCAUACAAUUACACAAGUGACUACACACAUAACAUUUCCACACACCAAAGUAAGCAAUUACAUGCAUACUAAACUAGGAGAAACGAGGAUCUAAUCAUCUACUUAUUAUUGUGACGACGCUUGCCAUUGCUGUGCUUUCGGCUGGAUCCCUGGCCGUUUUGUGGAAGGAGGCACUUCCUCAUGUCAACGAUCCGCAUGUACAUGUCGUAGCUCAUGUAUGCCUCCUUGGUCGCGUACAUGAUGUGAGCUUUGUCGAGUUUCUUCAUCCAGGCCGAGUGCCAGGCACGCUUGUCCUUGUUGCAGGAAUCCUUCAUGUCUCUGUAGUGGGGGUCGAUGAUGGCCUCGGCGAGGUGAACCAGUGAGUCCUUCUCACGCUCCUUGUUGCCCCAGAUCUUGUAUUGGCCCUGGACGUCGACAAGAUUCUGGCAGGCGAUGCCCGAAUUCUUGAGUGCCUUUACAUCGUUGGUGAUGUGUUGGGAAACGUUGCAUGGAAAACAAAAAAAAUCUAUGCACACGCAAGAUCUAUCCAUGGAGAUGCAUAGCAACGAGAGGGGGGAGUGUGUCUACAUACCCUCGUAGACCGUAAGUGGAAGCGUUUAACAACGCGGUUGAUGUAGUCGUACUCUUCGCGAUCCGAUCACGGUCCAACCGAUCUAGUGUCGAACGGACGGCACCUUCGAGUUUAGCACACAUGCGGCUCGAUGAUGUCUACUCCUUCUUGAUCCAGCGAGCGAGAGAGGAGAAGUAGAUGGGAUCACAACCAACACGACGGCGUGGUGGUGAUGGUGGUAGUGGAGUACCGACAGCGCUUCGCUAAGCGUCGCCGGGACGAGGCGGUGGAACUACGGAAUAACGGGAGAGAGAGGGGCGCCAAGGUGUAAGUGCAUCUAGUGCCCCUUAGUGAUUUUGGUGUAUUGAAGACUUAUAGGUUAAGGGACUGAUGUGUGUGUGAGUGUACACGGGUUCUUUAAGUCUAUGAGGAGUUUGAUAUUUACGAUGAAAGUCGACCCCUAAAAAUGAAUGUCUUCAGUUGAAGACUUUGGUUUUCUUGAAGACUUUGAAAGUGAGGAAAUUGGUGUGACCUUGAAGACUUCGAUGUUCAUGCGAGGAUUAUGAAGCGUGAAGACUUUUGUUUUCGUAGUUUCAUUUUCUCUUUCUUGAGUCAUAGGAAACACCGUACUGUUAAAGGGGUCGAGGUAAAACUAAGGAAACACUUUCCAAGUGAUGCUCAUCUCAAAAUCCUACACCUACCCAAUCAUUUCGAGUGAAGCCAUUGGAAAUCUCAUACAACCCAGUCAAUUUCUUCAGUGAUAAAGACGAAGAUCUUUUGGUCUCUGAGGAAUUUGUACCGACUGAGGAGUUAGGAAUUCGCCAGGGCAGAUUGCCUACAAGUGAGGAACAUGAUAGCCCUGAGGAAUUUGAGAGCUCAAAUUUCCGACCGUUGCUGUGCUACACGCCAGUUGUCCCAAAAUAUCCUACCCACCUAAUGGUCAUAUCAUUGAAGGGCAUUUAUGUCUUAUCAUGUCGGGCUGCUCCCUGGGCUAUAAAUAGCCGCCCCUACAACCACUAGUUGGUUGGCUGCUCCGAGAGAAACUGACACUUUUCAUUGAGAGCAUCCCAUCCUCCGAGGACUUUGAGCAAAAAUCAUCAAGUGAGGAAAACCCAAACCCAAAACACCUACAAACCCAAAGUGAUUGAGCAUCACUGAAGAGAUUGUUCCUGUGUGGAACCAGCACUUGAUACCUUUGAGUACUGUGCAUCCUCCAGACGGUUAGGCGUCAUGGUCUAGAGCAUCCAAGAGGAAUUGUGGAUCGCCGAGUGACCGAGUCUGUGAAGGUUUGGAAGUCACCUGAAGACUUACCACGUGUGAUUGGGCGAGGUCUGUGUGAUCUUAGCUCUAGGAGAAUACGGCGAGGACUGUGUGUCCGGGACUGUGUGUCCUCAGGUUUAAAUACCUAGCCGCUCCAACCAGACGUACAACUCUCGCAUUAGUUGGAACUGGUCUACCAAAUCAUCGUCUUCACCAAGCUACUAAUUCUAUUUCCUCAACCCUUUCAUUUCCUCAUUCAUGUGUUGAUGUACUUAAUCGUUACUAUUUGAAGAUUUUGACUGAAGACUUUCUCAAUUUCCUCAAUCCUAAUUUUUCAGUCACUUUUGUCUUCAGCCUGCUUAUCUUGUUUACACGCUACGUGUGCUCUGUGUAUGUUUCAAUUCAUCAUGAUGACCAUGCUACUGCUCUGUUAGGCAUGCACCUGAGUACUUAUUCCGUUGCUUGUAGUUCGUGACUUAGGAAAUUCCUCAAGUUGAAUUUCCCCAGUGACGAAUUUGUAAAAAUUGCCUAUUCACCCCCCACUAGUCGAUAUAACGCACUUUCACAAGGGCUUGGCCUGUCCUCUUGGGGCGCCCCCUCCCCUCUAUAUAUAGAUGGAGGGGCGUGGGAAACAGCCCCUCCAAGCCCUAGGGCGCAGCUAAGGGGGAGAGGACUUGGACUCCAAGUCCAAUCCUCUUCCUACUAGGACUCCUUUCUUUUUUGCCUUCCCUAGCCACAUGGGCUUUUGAGGACAUGGUACGCCUAGCCCAAUAAGGCCAGGCACCUCUCCGCAGCCCAUGCUAGCCCUUAGGUCGUGGUGGACCCACUUGUGGACUUCCGGACCACUCCUAAAUCCACCGAAACCUUCUAGAAGCUUCCCGGUACAAUACCGAAAAAACUGCACUUCAUUCCGGAACCCAAAAUAUGUCUUCGCAUGUAUAAAUCUUUACCUCUCGACCAUUCUGAGACUCCUCGUGAUGUCCAGAAUCUCAUCCGGGACUCCGAACAGCAUUUGGUUACCACUCAUCAAAUAUCCCAAUACUACUCUAGCGUUAGCGAACGUUAAGCGUGCAACCCUGCGGGUUCGGGAAUUAUGUAGUCAUGAUCGAGACACCUCUCCGGUCAAUAACCAACAGCGGGACCUAGAUGCCCAUAUUGAUUCCUACAUAUUCCACGAAGAUCUUUUUUUGGUUGAACCUUUAUGACAACAUACAUAAUUCCCUUUGUCUGUCGGUAUGUUACUUGCCCGAGAUUCGAUCGUCGGUAUCUCUAUACCUAGUUCAAUCUCGUUACCGAAAAGUUUCUUUACUCGUUCCAUAAUACAUCAUCUUACAACUAACUCCUUAGUCACUUCACUUGCAAGCUUCUUGUGAUGUGUAUUACCGAGAGGGCCCAGAGAUACAUCUCCGAUACACGGAGUGACAAAUCCUAAUCUCGAUUCACGCCAACUCAACAGACACCUUCGAAGAUACAUGUAGAGCAUCUUUAUGAUCACCCAAUUACAUUGUGACGUUUGAUAGCACACAAGGUAUUCCUCCGGUAUCCGGUAGUUGCAUGAUCUCAUGGUCGAAGGAACAUGUAUUUGACAUUAAGAAAGCAGUAGCAAUAAACUGAACGAUCAUAUGCCAAGCUAACGGAUGGGUCUUGUCCAUCACAUCAUUCUCCUAAUGAUGUGAUCCCGUUAUCAGAUGACAACUCAUGUCUAUGGUUAGGAAACCCUAACCAUCUUUGAUCAACGAGCUAGUCUAGUAGAGGCUUACUAGGGACUGGUAUUUGUUUAUGUAUCCACACAUGUAUUUAAGUUUCCGGUCAAUACAAUUCUAGCAUGAAUAAGAAACCUUUAUCAUGAUUUAGGAAAUAUAAUAAUAACCAUUUUAUUAUUGCCUCUAGGGCAAAUUUCCAUCAAUCUCCCUCUUGCACUAGAGUCAAUAAUCUAGUUCACAUCGCCAUGUGAUUAACACCCAUAGUUCACAUCGCCAUGUGACCAACACCAAAAGAGUUUACUAGAGUCAAUAACAUAGUUCACAUCACCAUGCAUGUGAUUAACACCCAAAGAGUACUAAGGUGUGAUCAUGUAUUUCUUGUGAGAGAAGUUUAGUCAAUGGGUCUGUCACAUUCAGAUUCGUAUGUAUUUUGCAAAUUUCUAUGCCUACAAUUCUCUGCAUGGAGCUACUCUAGCUAAUUGCUCCCACUUUCAAUAUGUAUCCAGAUUGAUACUCAUAGUCAUCCGAAUAGGUGUCAAAGCUUGCAUCGACGUAACUCUUUGCGACGAACUCUUUAUCACCUCCAUAACCGAGAAAAUAUUUCCUUAGUUCUCUAAGGUUAAUUUUGACCGUUGUCCAGUGAUCUACUCCUGGAUCACUAUUGUACCCCCUUGCCAAACUCAUGGCAAGGCACACAAUAGGUCUGGUACACAGCAUGGCAUACUUUAUAGAACCUAUGGCUGAGGCAUAGGGAAUGACUUUCAUUCUCUCUCUAUCUUCUACCGUGGUCGGGCUUUGAGUCUUACUCAACUUCACACCUUGUAACACAGGCAAGAGCCCUUUCUUUGACUAAUCCAUUUUGAACUUCUUCAAAACUUUAUUAAGGUAUGUACUUUGGGAAAGUCUUAUCAAGCGUCUUGAUCUAUCUCUAUAGAUCUUGAUGCCUAAUAUGUAAGCAGCUUCACCGAGGUCUUUCAUUGAAAAAUUCUCAUUCAAGUAUCCUUUUAUGCUAUCCAGGAAUUCUAUAUAAUUUCCAAUCAACAAUAUGCCAUCCACAUAUAAUAUCAGAAAUGCUGCAGAGCUCCCCCUUACUUUUUUGUAAAUACAUGCUUCACCAUAAGUCUGUAUAAAACCAUAUGCUUUGAUCACCUCAUCAAAGCGUAUAUUCCAACUCCGAGAUGCUUGCACCAGUCCAUAGAUGGAUUGCUAGAGUUUGCACACUUUGUUAGCACCUUUAGGAUCGACAAAACCUUCUCGUUGCAUCAUAUACAACUCAUCUUUAAGAAAUCAAUUAAGGAAUGCAGUUUUCACAUCCAUUUGCCAGAUUUCAUAAUUAUAAAAUGCGGCGCUUGCUAACAUGAUUCGGACUAACUUAAGCAUCGCUAUGGGUGAGAAGGUCUCAUCAUAGUCAACCCCUUGAACUUGUCGAAAACCUUUUGCGACAAGUCGAGCUUUGUAGACAGUGAUAUUACCAUCAGCAUUCGUCUUCCUCUUGAAGACCCAUUUAUUCUCAAUGGCUUGCCGAUCAUCGGGCAAGUCCACCAAAGUCCACACUUUGUUCUCAUACAUGGAUCCUAUCUCAUAUUUCAUGCCCUCAAGCCAUCUGUCGGAAUCUGGGAUCAUCAUAGCUUCUUCAUAGUUCAUAGGUUCGUCAUGGUCUAAUAACAUGACUUCCAGGAUAGGAUUACUGUACCACUCUAGUGCAGAACGUGCUCUGUUCAACCUACGAGGUCCAGUUGUAAAUUUAUCUGAAGUUUCAUGAUCAUCAUCAUUAGCCUCCUCUCUAGUUGGUGUAGGCAUCACGGGAACAGAUUUCUCUGAUGUGCUACUUUCCAACUCGAGAGAAGGUACAAUUACCUCAUCAAGUUCUAAUUUCCUCCCACUCACUUCUUUCGAGAGAAACUCCUUCUCUAGAAAGGAUCCAUUCUUAGCAACAAAGAUCUUGCCUUCGGAUCUGUGAUAGAAAGUGUACCCAAUUGUUUCCUAAGCGCAUCCUACGAAGACGCACUUCUCCGAUUUGUGUUCGAGCUUAUCAGGCUGAAGCCUUUUGACAUAAAUGUCGCAACCCCAAACUUUAAGAAAUGACAGCUUAAGUUUCUUGCCAAACCAUAGUUCAUACGAUGUCGUCUCAACGGAUUUAGACAUUGCCCUAUUUAAUGUGAAUGCAGCUGUCUCUAAUGCAUAACCCCAAAACUAUAGUGGUAAAUCGGUAAGAGACAUCAUAGAACGCACCAUAUCUAAUAAAGUAUGGUUAUGACGUUCGGACACAUCAUUACGCUGUGGUGUUAGAGGUGGCGUGAAUUGUGAAACAAUUCCACAUUGUUUUAAAUGAAGGCCAAACUCGUAACUCAAAUAUUCGCCUCCGCGAUCAGAUCGUAGAAACUUUUUUUCUUGUUAUGAUGAUUCUCCACUUCACUCUGAAAUUCCCUUUGAACUUUUCAAAUGUUUCAGACUUGUGUUUCAUUAAGUAGAUAUACCCAUACAUACGGAAAUCAUCUGUGAAGGUCAGAAAAUAACGAUACCCGCCGCGUGCUUCAACACUCAUCGGACCGCAUACAUCAGUAUGUAUUAUUUCCAAUAAGUCAUUAGCUCGCUCCAUUGUUCCGGAGAACGGAGUUUUAGUCAUCUUGCCCAUGAUUCACAAGUAUCAAAUGAUUCAUAACCAAGUGAUUCUAACAGUCCAUUUGCAUGGAUUUUCUUCAUGCGCUUUACACCAAUAUGACCUAAACGGCAGUGCCACAAAUAUGGUGCACUAUCAUUGUCAACUUUGCAUCUCUUUGGCAUCAAUGUUAUGAAUAUAUGUAUCACUACGAUCGAGAUUCAUAGAAGGUUUUAUUCAUGUAAACAGAACAACAAUUAUUCUCUACUUAAAUGAAUAAACGUAUUGCAAUAAACAUGAUCUAAUCAUAUUCAUGCUCAACGCAAACACCAAAUAACAUUUAUUUAGGUUCAACACUAAUCCCGAAGGUAGAGGGAGUGUGCGAUGGUGAUCAUAUCAACCUUGGAAUCAUUUCCAACACACAUCGUUGAUACGUCUCCAUCGUAUCUACUUUUCCAAACUCUUUUGCCCUUGUUUUGGACUCUAACUUGCAUGAUUUGAAUGGAACUAACCCGGACUGACGCUGUUUUCAGCAGAAUUGCCAUGGUGUUAUUUUUGUGCAGAAUAAAAAGUUCUCGGAAUGACCUGAAACUUCACGGAGAUAAGUUUUGGAAUUAAUAAAAAAUAUUGGCAAAAGAAUCAAGUGAAGGGGGCCCACACCCUUGCCACAAGGGGGGGGGGGCGCCUCCCGACCUUGUGGGCCCCUAGACCUCCACCAACCUCAACUCCAACUCCAUAUAUUCACGUUCGGGGAGAAAAAAAUCAGAGAGAAGGAUUCAUCACAUUUUACGAUACGGAGCCGCCGCCAAGCCCUGUUCUUCCUCGGGAGGGCAGAUCUGGAGUCCGUUUUGGGCUCCGGAGAGGGGAAUCCGUCGCCAUCGUCGUCAUCAACCAUCCUCCAUCACCAAUUUCAUGAUGCUCAUCAUUGUGCGUGAGUAAUUCCAUCGUAGGCUUGCUGGACCGUGAUGGGUUGGAUGAGGUUUACCAUGUAAUCGAGUUAGUUUUGUUAGGGUUUGAUCCCUAGUAUCCACUAUGUUCUAAGAUUGAUGUUGCUAUGACUUUGUUAUGCUUAAUGAUUGUCACUAGGGCCCGAGUGCCAUGAUUUCAGAUCUGAACCUAUUAUAUUUUCAUGAAUAUAUUUGUGUUCUUGAUCCUAUCUUGCAAGUUAUAGUCACCUACUACGUGUUAUGAUCUGGCAACCCUAGAGUGACAAUAGUCGGGACCACUCCCGGUGAUGACCGUAGUUUGAGGAGUUCAUGUAUUCACUAAAUGUUAAUGCUUUGGUCAGGUACUCUAUUAAAAGGAGGCCUUAGUAUCCCUUAGUUUCCAAUAGGACCCCGCUACCAUGGGAGGGUAGGACAAAAGAUGUCAUGCAAGUUCUUUUCCAUAAGCAUGUAUGACUAUAUACGGAAUACAUGCCUACAUUAUAUUGAUGAACUGGAGCUAGUUCUGUGUCACCCUAUGUUAUAACUGUUGCAUGAUGAAUGCCAUCCAACAUAAUUAUCCAUCAUUGAUCCAUUGCCUACGAGCUUUUCACAUAUUGAUCUUUGCUAAGUUACUUUUCCGUUGCCACUGUUACGAUUGCUACAAUACUGCUACUGUUACUUUUGCCACCGUUACCGUUACUUCCAUACUACUUUGCUACUAAAUACCUUGCUGCAGAUAUUAAGUCUUUCAGGUGUGGUUGAAUUGAUAACUCAGCUGCUAAUACUUGAGAAUGUUCUUUGGCUCCCCUUGUGUCGAAUCAAUAAAUUUGGGUUGAAUACUCUACCCUCGAAAACUGUUGCGAUCCCCUAUACUUGUGGGUUAUCAAGACCUUUUUCUGGCAUCGUUGCCGGCUCUGAGUCAAUUGGGAUUUAUAUCUGCUGAUCACUAUGAGGAAUUUUAAAUAUCGAAGAAACAAGAUUUUUCCCUCAACUACGAGGGGAGGUAAGGAACUACCAUCUAGCUCUGCACUUGAUUCUCCUUCUGUUUUGAGUAAACUUGCGACACCUACACCUGCUAUUGAUUCCGAUAUGUUGCAUGUUAUUGAUGAUGCCACUUCUACUAUGCAUGAUGCUUAUGAUGAAACUAGUUCCCUGCUUGAUAAUUGAUGACCCACAAGUAUAGGGGAUCUAUCGUAGUCCUUUCGAUAAGUAAGAGUGUCAAACCCAACGAGGACCAGAAGGAAAUGAUAAGCGAUUUUCAGCAAGGUAUUCUCUACAAGCACUGAAAUUAUAGGUAACAGAUAGUUUUGUGAUAAGAUAAUUUGUAACGAGCAACAAGUAACAAAAGUAAAUAAAGUGCAGCAAGGUGGCCCAAUCCUUUUUGUAGGAAAGGACAAGCUUGGACAAACUCUUAUAUAGAGAAAAGCGCUCCCGAGGACACAUGGGAAUUAUCGUCAAGCUAGUUUUCAUCACAUUCAUAUGAUUCACGUUCGGUACUUUGAUAAUUUGAUAUGUGGGUGGACCGGUGCUUGGGUGAUGUCCUUACUUGGACAAGCCUCCCACUUAUGAUUAACCCCUAUUGAAAGCAUCCACAACUACAAAAGAAGUAUUAAGGUAAACCUAACCAUAGCAUGAAACAUAUGGAUCCAAAUCAGCCCCUUACGAAGCAACACAUAAACUAGGGUUUAAGCUUCUGUCACUCUAGCAACCCAUCAUCUACUUAUUACUUCCCAAUGCCUUCCUCUAGGCCCAAACAAUGGUGAAGUGUCAUGUGGUCGACGUUCACAUAACACCACUAGAGGAGAGACAACAUACAUCUCAUCAAAAUAUCGAACGAAUACCAAAUUCACAUGACUACUAAUAGCAAGACUUCUCCCAUGUCCUCAGGAACAAACGUAACUACUCACAAAGCAUAUUCAUGUUCAUAAUCAGAGGAGUAUUAAUAUGCAUAUAGGAUCUGAACAUAUGAUCUUCCACCAAAUAAACCAACUAGCAUCAACUACAAGGAGUAAUCAACACUACUAGCAACCUACAGGUACCAAUCCCAGACUUAGAGACAAGAAUUGGAUACAAGGGAUGAACUAGGGUUUGAGAGGAGAUGGUGCUGGUGAAAAUGUUGAUGGAGAUUGGCCCCCUCCCGAUGAGAGGAGCAUUGGUGAUGACGAUGGCGAUGAUUUCCCCCUCCCGGAGGGAAGUGUCCCCGGCAGAACAGCUCUGCCGGAGCCCUAGAUUGGUUCCGCCUCGUGGCGGCGGAGUCUUGUCCCGAAAGCUUGCUUAUAUUUUUCUUCGGACGAAAGACUUCAUAUAGCAGAAGAUGGGCACCGGAGGGCCAACAGGGGGCCCAAAGGCAGGGGGCGCGCCCAGGGGGGUAGGGCGCGCCCCCACCCUCGUGGCCAAGGUGUGGGCCCCCUCUGGUAUUUCUUUCGCUCAGUAUUUUUUAUUAUUUCCAAAAACAACUUCCGUGGAGUUUCAGGACUUUUAGAGUUGUGCAGAAUAGGUCUCUAAUAUUUGCUCCUUUUCCAGCCCAGAAUUCCAGUUGUCGGCAUUCUCCCUCCUUAUGUAAACCUUGUAAAAUAAGAGAGAAUAGGCAUAAGUAUUGUGACAUAAUGUGUAAUAAUAGCCCAGAAUGCAUUAAAUAUCAAUAUAAAAGCAUGAUGCAAAAUGGACGUAUCAACUCCCCCAAGCUUAGACCUCGCUUGUCCUCAAGCAGAAGCCGAUAACGAUAAAUAUGUCCACAUGUUUAGAGGUAGAGGUGUCGAUAAAAUAAAAUACGGACAUGAGGGCAUCAUGAUCAUUCUUAUAACAACAACAUAUAUGGAUAUUGUCAUAUGAUUUCUUAUGCUCAAGUAAUAAUCUAUUCACAACGCCAAGUAUGAAUCAGAAACUUUAUUGAGAACUAACAAACUAUCAUCUCAGUCACUGAGGCAAUUACAAUUUAUCAUAACAUCAGAAAGAGUCUAUGUCAGAGCUUUUUAGCAAGUCCACAUACUCAACUAUCAUUUAGUCUUUCACAAUUGCUAACACUCACACAAUACUUCUGGUUAUGGAGUUUUAAUCGGACACAGAGAAAGAUAGGGGCUUAUAGUUUCGCCUCCCAACCUUUUACCUCAAGGGUUAUAGUUCAUGCUAACUUACAUCCAAUUAGAUAUAUAUAUAUAUAUAUAUAUAUAUAUAUAUAUAUAUAUAUAUAUAUAUAUAUAUAUAUAUCAGGAUCUUUCCAACAUACUGUGCUUGCCAAAGGAUAAAAUGUAAAAAGGAAAGGUGAAGAUUACCAUGACUCUUGCAUAAGGGUAAGAGAUAAAAGUAAAAGAUAGGCCCUUCGCAGAGGAAAGCAGAGGUUGUCAUGCGCUUUCAUGGUUGGAUGCACGAAAUCUUAAUGCGAAAGAACGUCACUUUAUAUUGCCACUUGUGAUAUGGACCUUUAUUAUGCAGUCUGUCACUUUUAUUUCUUCCACAUCACAAGAUCGUAUAAAGCUUAUUUCCUCCACACCAAUCAAUCAUACAUAUUUAGAGAGCAAUUUUUAUUGCUUGCACCGAUGACAACUUACUUGAAGGAUCUUACUCAAUCCAUAGGUAGAUAUGGUGGACUCUCAUGGAAAAACUGGGUUUAUGGGUAUUUGGAAGCACAAGUAGUAUCUCUACUUGGUGCAAAGAAUUUGGCUAGCAUGAGGGGGAAAGGCAAGCUCAACAUAUUGGAUGAUCCAUGACAAUAUACUUUAUUUCAGAUAUAAGAAAACAUAACCCAUUACGUUGUCUUCCUUGUCCAACAUCAACUCUUUAGCAUGUCAUAUUUUAAUGAGUACUCACAAUCAUAAAAAGAUGUCCAAGAUAGUAUAUUUAUAUGUGAAACCUCUCUUUCUUUAUUACUUCCUAUUAAUUGCAACGAUGACCAAAACUAUGUUUGUCAACUCUCAACAACUUUUAAUCAUCAUACUCUUUAUAUGUGAAGUCAUUACUCUCCAUAAGAUCAAUAUGAUCUCUUUGUUUCUUUUUUAUUCUUUCUUUUUCUUUUAUUCCCUCAAGAUCAUGGCAAAGUAAUCAAGCCCUUGACUCAACACUAAUCUUUAUUAUAUAGCUCACGGACUCGAUUACAUAGAAGGGAUCAUAAAGCAAAACUCAAAACUAGAUCAUACUAAAAACUUUAUUCUACUAGAUCAAGAUAUUUCUAAAAAGAUCGAACUAAGAAAACGGUAAAGAUAGAGAUGUGAUGGUGAUACGAUACCGGGGCACCUCCCCCAAGCUUGGCAGUUGCCAAGGGGAGUGCCCAUACCCAUGUCGUUAUAUCUCCUUCUUCGGAGAUGGUGAUGUGAUAUUCUUGGCGAUGAUGCCCCUCAGGAUACGAUUCUCCUCCUCGAGCUUAUUGACUUGCUACUUGAGGUCCAUUAUUUCCUUUCAAAGCUUUCCUAUAACGGCCAAAGCUCCUUGCACCCAAGGGUGUUGCAUAGCUGCGGGAGAACAAGUGACACUCUUCUUCAUAUUUUCAUAAGAAAGAAAUCUAACAUUGGAAGGGAUAACCGAGUUUGGAAUAGCUGAGCUCUGUAGUUCCCCCAUUGUGAAUCCAGCUCGGAAGCGAGAAGUGGCUUCUUAAUCCUCUUCCAUGGCAUCUAUCCUCUUCAAAUCAGCCUCCAUCUCUUCCUCCGUUGCUGGCCCAAAGUGGUCAGCAUUGCUGUUUGUCCUUGGUCUCGAUGCCGGAUGAGACACCCGGUUCUCCCUGACUGACUCUUGAGAAGACAUCUUGCUCUAAUCUACAGCAGCAACAGAUCGAAACACAAACAGAGGAUAAUUGUGUGAUACGGGAGUCAAAACCUUCGGGAGAUUAUAUAAUGAAUUUUUACCGGCCAAAAUACGUAUCGUGCAAGAAAACGGAGUCCGGAGAGCGCACGAGGUGCCCACGAGGCAGGGGGCGCGCCCAGGGGGGUAGGGCGCGCCCUCCACCCUCGUGGAGCCCUUGUGUCCUUCCCAGACUGGUUCUUAUUUUUCUAUUUUUCUAAAUAUUCCAAAACAUAGAAAAAUUGCCAUUAGAACUGUUUUGGAGUUGGUUUACUUACCGUACCAUAUACCUAUUCCUUUUCAGAGUCUGAAAAGUUCCGGAAAGUGUCUCUUAUGUAUUCCUCCGGGGUUACAGUUUCAAUAACAUCGGUUUCAACAUUUAUGGGAUUACCGGAGAUAUAAUGUUUGAUUCUUUGGCCGUUCACCACCUUCGGAUUUGUGCCUCCAAGUUGUUGAUUUUUAUGGCACCGGAACGAUAGACCACCUCGAUAACGUAUGGACCUUCCCAUUUAGAGAGAAGUUUCCCUGCAAAAAAUCUUAAACGAGAGUUUUAUAGCAAUACAUAAUCACCUACAUUAAACUCACGCUUUUGUAUUCUUUUGUCAUGCCAUCUUUUAACUUUUUCUUUAAACAAUUUGGCAUUAUCAUAGGCUUGGGUUCUCCAUUCAUCAAGUGAGCUAAUGUCAAAUAACCUCUUCUCACCAGCAAGUUUGAAAUCAUAAUUGAGCUCUUUAAUAGCCCAAUAAGCCUUAUGUUCUAGUUCGAGAGGUAAGUGACAUGCUUUUCCCUAAACCAUUUUAUACGGAGACAUACCCAUAGGAUUUUUAUAUGCAGUUCUAUAGGCCCAUAAUGCAUCAUCAAGUUUAUUGGACCAAUUCUUUCCAGAUCUAUUAACAGUCUUUUGCAAAAUUAAUUUGAGCUCUCUAUUGCUCAAUUCUACUUGACCACUAGACUGUGGGUGAUAUGGAGAUGCAAUUCUAUGAUUAACAUCAUACUUGGCAAGCAUUUUACGGAAAGCACCAUAUAAAAUGUGAACCACCAUCAGUCAUUAAAUAUCUAGGGACUCCAAACCUCGGAAAAAUAACUUCUUUAAGCAUCUUAAUAGAGGUGUUAUGAUCAACACUACUAGUUGGAAUAGCUUCUACCCACUUAGUAACGUAAUCAACAGCAACUAAAAUAUGUGUAUAUCCAUUAGAGGCAGGAAACGGUCCCAUAUAAUCAAAGCCCCAAACAUCAAACGGUUCAAUAACAAGUGAAUAAUUCAUAGGCAUUUCUUGACGUCUACUAAUAUUACCAAUUCUUUGACAUUCAUCACAAGAUAAGACAAACUUACGGGCAUCUUUAAAGAGAGUAGGCCAAUAAAAACCGGAUUGCAAUACCUUAUGUGCAGUUCUAUCUCCAGUGUGGUGUCCUCCAUAAGCCUCGGAGUGACACUUGCGUAGGAUCUGUUCCUGUUCAUGCUCAGCUACACAACGUCUAAUAACACCAUCUACUCCUUCUUAAUAAAGAUGUGGGUCAUCCCAAAAGUAAUGUCUCAAAUCAUAGAAAAACUUUUUCUUUUGCUGGUAUGUGAAACUAGGUGGUAUAAAUUUAGCAACAAUGUAAUUAGCAUAAUCAGCAUACCAUGGAGCAGUACGAGAAGCAUUUAUGACAUUUAAUUGUUCAUCAGGAAAGCUAUCAUCAAUAGGUAGUGGGUCAUCAAGAACAUUUUCUAACCUAGACAAGUUGUCUGCAACGGGGUUCUCAGCUCCCUUUCUAUUAAUAAUAUGCAAAUUAAAUUCUUGUAGCAAGAGGACCCAUCUAAUAAGUCUAGGUUUAGCAUCUUUCUUUUCCAUAAGAUAUUUAAUAGCAGUGUGAUCAGUGUGAAUAGUUACUUUAGAAUCAACAAUAUAAGGUCUGAACUUAUCACAAGCAAAUACAACUGCUAAGAAUUAUUUUUCAGUAGUAGCAUAAUUUCUCUGAGCAUUGUCUAGAGUUUUACUAGCAUAUUGAAUAACAUUUAAUUUCUGAUCAACUCUUUGCCCUAGAACAACACCUACAGCAUAAUCACUAGCAUCACACAUAAUUUCAAAGGGUAAAUUCCAAUCAGGUGGCUGAACAAUAGGUGUAGAGAUCAAUGCUUUCUUAAGUAUUUCAAAUGCUUCUACACAAUCAUCAUCAAAGACAAAUGGUAUAUCUUUUUGUAAUAAAUUAGUCAGAGGCCGAGAAAUUUUAGAGAAGUCCUUAAUGAACCUCCUAUAAAAUCCGGCGUGACCAAGGAAACUUCUUAUACCUUUGAUGUCCUUGGGACAUGGCAUCUUUUCAAUAGCAUCAACUUUAGCUUUAUCAACUUCAAUACCUCUUUCAGAAAUUUUAUGCCCCAAGACAAUGCCUUCAUUAACCAUAAAGUGGCACUUUUCCCAAUUCAAGACAAGAUUAGUUUCUUCACAUCUGUGCAAAACUCGAUCAAGGUUGCUCAAGCAAUCAUCAAAAGAGGAUCCAUAAACGGAGAAAUCGUCCAUGAAAACCUCACAAAUCUUUUCACAAAAGUCAGAGAAUAUAGCCAUCAUGCAUGUUUGAAAGGUAGCAGGUGCAUUACAUAAACCAAAAGGCAUACGUCUAUAGGCAAAAGUACCGAAAGGGCAAGUAAAAGUGGUCUUAGCUUGAUCAUCAACUGACACAUGUAUUUGAGAGAAACCAGAAUAACCAUCUAGAAAGCAAAAAUGUGUAUGUUUGGAUAAUCUUUCUAGCAUUUGGUCAAUAAAAGGUAAGGGGUAAUGAUCUUUUUUAGUAGCCUUAUUUAAUUUGCGAAAAUCAAUUACCAUCCUAUAACCUGUAAUAAUUCUUUGCGGAAUCAAUUUAUCUUUAUCAUUAGGAACGACAGUAAUACCUCCUUUCUUAGGGACACAAUGGACAGGACUUACCCACUGACUAUCAGCAACGGGAUAAAUUAUACCUGCCUCAAGGAGCUUUAGUAUUUCUUUUCUUACCACUUCUUUCAUCUUAGGAUUCAGCCGUGAUUGAUGAUCGAUAACUGGUUUGGCAUCUUUCUCCAAAUUUAUUUUAUGUUGACAUAGAGUGGGACUAAUGCCCUUAAGAUCAUCAAGAGUAUAUCCAAUAGCAGCACGGUGCUUCUUCAGAGUUUUCAAUAAUUUUUCUUCCUCCUUCUCUGAAAGGUUAGCACUAAUAAUAAUAGGAUAUAUUUUCUUUUCAUCAAGAUAAGCAUAUUUAAGAGUAUCAGGCAAUGGUUUAAGCUCAAACACGGGAUCACCCUUGGGUGGAGGAGGAUCCCCUAGGAUUUUAACAGGCAAGUUGUGUUUCAGAAUAGGUCCCUGUUUAAAGAACACUUCAUCUAUUUCCCUUCUUUCAUUCAUAAACAUAUCAUUUUCAUGGUCUAGCAAAUAUUGUUCUAAAGGAUCAAUAGGAGGUACGGCAAUAGAAGCAAGACCAAUAAUUUCAUCUUUACUAGGCAAUUCCUCUUCACGGUGUUGUCUACAAAAUUUAGAGAAAUUAAACUCAUGAGACAUAUCACCUAAACCAAUUGUAACAACAUCCUUUUCGCAGUCUAUCUUAGCAUUAACAGUGUUUAAGAAGGGUCUACCAAAUAUAAUGGGACAAAAGCUAUCGUGUGGGGAACCAAGAACAAGAAAAUCAGCAGGAUAUUUAGUUUUCCCACACAAGACUUCAACAUAUCUAACAAUCCCAAUUGGUGAAAUAGUAUCUCUAUUGGCAAGUUUAAUUGUGACAUCAAUAUCUUCUAACUCAGCAGGUGCAAUAUCAUGCAUAAUUUCGUUGUAUAAGUCAAUAUGUAUUGCACUAGCACUAGCACCCAUAUCACACAAGCCAUGAUAACAAUGAUCUCCUAUUUUAACAGAAAUAACAGGCAUGCCUACCACAUGUCUAUGUUUAUCUUUAGCACAAGGUUUAGCAAUUCUAGCAGUCUCAUCACAGAAAUAAAUAACAUGUCCAUCAAUAUUACCAGCCAAGAGAUCUUCAACAAUAGCAAUAUUAGGUUCAACUUUAACUUGCUCAGGAGGUGUAUAGGUUCUAAUAUUACUUUUACGAACCACAGUUGAAGCUUUAGCAUGAUCCUUUAUUCUAACAGGGAAAGGUGGUUUUUCAACAUACGCAGUAGGAACAAUAGGAUCAUUAUAAGUGAUAGUCUUUUCUUCAACUUUAAUAGGUGCAGCUACUUUUACUUCUAUGGGAGGAUGAUAUUUAAACCACUUCUCCUUAGGGAGAUCAACAUGAGUAGCAAAAGAUUCACAGAAAGAAGCUACUAUCUCAGAGUCAAGUCCAUAUUUAGUGCUAAAUUUACGGAAAACAUCGGUAUCCAUAAAAGAUUUAACAUAAUCAAACUUAGGUGUCAUAUCUGACUCCUUACCUUCGUCGAGGUCCCAAUCUUCAGAGUUGCGUUUAAUUCUUUCCAAUAAAUCCCAUUUGAAUUCAAUAGUCUUCAUCAUAAAAGAUCCAGCACAAGAAGUAUCGAGCAUGGUGCGAUUGUUAUCAGAAAGCCGAGCAUAAAAUUUUUGAAUAAUCAUUUCUCUUGAGAGCUCAUGAUUGGGGCAUGAAUAUAACAUAGACUUAAGCCUCCCACAAGCUUGAGCGAUGCUUUAUCCUUCGCUAGGCCAAAAAUUAUAUAUAUAAUUGCGAUCACGAUGAACAAGAUGCAUAGGAUAAAACUUCUGAUGAAAUUCCAAUUUCAAUCGUUUGUAGUUCCAUGAUCCCAUAUCAUCACAUGGCCUAUACCAUGUCAAUGCAUCUCCCUUCAAAGAUAAAGGGAAGACCUUCUUCUUAAUAACAUCAUCGGGCAUACCUGCAAGCUUAAAUAAUCCACAAACCUCAUCCACAUAGAUUAGGUGCUCAUCAGGAUGUAAUGUUCCAUCUCCUGCAAAAGGAUUAGCUAGCAGUUUUUCUACCAUACCCGAAGGAAUUUCAAAGUAGACAUUUUCAUUUUCAGUAGGUUGAGGAGCAACUCUUUGCUCUACUGGUCGGGGUGAAGAUACCCCAAACAAGCCCCUCAGAGGAUUACUUUCCAUAGUAACAAGAGACAGUAAAUUUCAGCACACUAUAUAAAUUUUUCCUUACCAAAUUCCACCUACCAAAGGCGCUUCACUCCCCGGCAAUGGCGCCAGAAAAGAGUCUUGAUGACCCACAAGUAUAGGGGAUCUAUCGUAGUCCUUUUGAUAAGUAAGAGUGUCGAACCCAACAAGGAGCAGAAGGAAAUGAUAAGCGGUUUUCAGCAAGGUAUUUUCCGCAAGCACUUAAAUUAUAGGUAACAGAUAGUUUUGUGAUAAGAUAAUUUGUAACGAGAAACAAGUAACAAAAGUAAAUGAAGUGCAGCAAGGUGGCCCAAUCCUUUUUGUAGUAAAGUACAAGCUUGGACAAACUCUUAUAUAGAGAAAAGCGCUCCCGAGGACACAUGGGAAUUAUUGUCAAGCUAGUUUUCAUCACGUUCAUAUGAUUCGCGUUCGGUACUUUGAUAAUUUGAUAUGUGGGUGGACCAGUGCUUGGGUGCUGUCCUUACUUGGACAAGCCUCCCCCUUAUGAUUAACCCCUAUUGCAAGCAUCCGCAACUACAAAAGAAGUAUUAAGGUAAACCUAACCAUAGCAUGAAACAUAUGGAUCCAAAUCAGCCCCUUACGAAGCAACACAUAAACUAGGGUUUAAGCUUCUGUCACUCUAGCAACCCAUCAUCUACUUAUUACUUCCCAAUGCCUUCCUCUAGGCCCAAACAAUGGUGAAGUGUCAUGUAGUCGACAUUCACAUAACACCACUAGAGGAGAGACAACAUACAUCUCAUCAAAAUAUCGAACGAAUACCAAAUCUAAUAGCAAGACUUCUCCCAUGUCCUCAGGAACAAAUGUAACUACUCACAAAGCAUAUUCAUGUUCAUAAUCAGAGGAGUAUUCAUAUGCAUAUAGGAUCUGAACAUAUGAUCUUCCACCAAAUAAACCAACUAGCAUCAACUACAAGGAGUAAUCAACACUACUAGCAACCUAUAGGUACCAAUCCCAGACUUAGAGACAAUAAUUGGAUACAAGAGAUGAACUAGGGUUUGAGAGGAGAUGGUGCUGGUGAAGAUGUUGAUGGAGCUUGGCCCCCUCCCGAUGAGAGGAGCGUUGGUGAUGACGAUGGCGAUGAUUUCUCCCUCCCGGAGGGAAGUGUCCCCGGCAGAACAGCUCUACCGGAGCCCUAGAUUGGUUCCUCCAAGGUUCCGCCUCGUGGCGGCGGAGUCUUGUCCCGAAAGCUUGCUUAUAUUUUUCUUCGGACGAAAGACUUCAUAUAGCAGAAGAUGGGCACCGGAGGGCCAACAGGGGGCCCACGAGGCAGGGGGGCGCGCCCACGGGGUAGGGCGCGCCCCCACCCUCGUGGACAGGGUGUGGGCCCCCUCUGGUAUUUCUUCCGCUCAGUAUUUUUUAUUAUUUCCAAAAACAACUUUCGUGGAGUUUCAGGACUUUUGGAGUUGUGCAGAAUAGGUCUCUAAUAUUUGCUCCUUUUCCAGCCCAGAAUUCCAGCUGCCGGCAUUCUCCCUCCUUAUGUAAACCUUGUAAAAUAAGAGAGAAUAGGCAUAAGUAUUGUGACAUAAUGUGUCUAACAGCCCAUAAUGCAAUAAAUAUCGACAUAAAAGCAUGCUGCAAAAUGGACGUAUCAAUAAUACUGUGCCACUAGGUGAAUUUCUUGAUGAACAACUUGCUAGGGUUAGAGAGAAUGAAAUAACUAAAACUGAUGAUAUUAUUGAAACUGAAGAUUAUGAUUCUCCCCCUAGAUAUGAAUUGCCUGUUGUACUUGAGGGUUAUGUUAUGGAUGAAGAAACUGCUAGAGACUUCUUUGCUUGCGAUGAUAGAGAGGAUCUUAAGAAAUUAUUAGCUAAGCAGAAAGAAAAUCCUUAAAUGCUAGAAUGAAAUAUGAUCCUAAUUUUGCUAAUUCACCUAUCUUUGUUACUAAUAAGGAUUAUGAAUUCUCUGUUGACCCUGAGUUGAUUACUUUGGUUGAAUUUGAUCCUUUCUAUGGUUAUGAAUCUGAAACUGUUGUGGCACAUCUUACUAAAUUGAAUGAUAUAGCCACCCUAUUUGCUCACGAGGAAAAAAUUCACUAUUACUAUAUUCUUAAAUUGUUUCCUUUCUCAUUAAAGGGUGAUGCUAAGAUAUGUUUUAAUUCUCUUGCUCCUGGUUGUGUGCGUAGUCCCCAGGAUAUGAUAUACUACUUCUCUGCAAAAUAUUUCCCCGCUCAUAAGAAACAAGUUGCUUUAAAGGAAAUAUUUAACUUUGUGCAAACUGAAGAAGAGAGUCUCCCACAAGCUUGGGGAGGCUUCUCCAAUUACUUAAUGCUUUGCCUGAUCACCCUCUCAAGAAAAUGAAAUACUUGAUAUCUUUUAUAAUGGACUAACCGAUGCUUCCAGAGACCACCUGGAUAGUUGUGCUGGUUGUGUUUUCAGGGAAAGAACUGCUGAGCAAGCUGAAUUGCUAUUGAAUAAUAUAUUGAGUAAUGAUAAUGAUUGGACACUUCCUGAACCAACUCAUAAGCCAACUUCAAAGAAAAGGGGUUGUCGGGGUACAAAAGUAGGGGCUCUCCUUCUUACCCUUCUACUUGUGCAUGGACAGUCAGAGCCGCACCUGCGGCCACACUUAGCAGGGCAAAGGGAGGAAGCAGAAGCACAAGAAUACUAGAGCAGCGCUCCAGCCAGGAGCACAAGACGGGCAGAGCAACACCAAGACCAGAGACACAAAGAGCAAAAGGGCGAGGUGGACUGUCGGCGUUCUGGGAACGGGGGUCCCCAGACUUGCCUGCCUACGGCCCACGGCGUGGCUUAGCUAGCAGGCCUGUGCGGCCCAUCUUCAUCAACAAGGCAUUCAAGACCCUCACGAGGGGCCAAGCCUCGCGAGGCGGGCGAUGCAAGACCUCCUCCGGAGCCCUUGGGACCUCAUCAGCCGAGCCGGGUGCCGGCACUUCCGGAGACAGCGGGGCCACGGGGGCUGACUCCUCCUGCCGAUGCUCCUCUUGGCCUCGUGAGGGCGACCGGGCUGGGGAGGUGCGAGUGCUGUUGCCUCUCUUCUCCGCAAAGGGGGGAACCAACCUGGCGGCGAUGCUGCUCGUGAAGAAAGGGAAGAAGGUGCUUCCCUCAGGCUCCGGCGCGUCGGAGGCAAGCUGGAGCUCCGUCUUCCCCCUCUCGUUGCUCUCCCCCGCCGUCAGCAAGCGCGUGGCGGCUAGGUUCUUCUCCGUGACGUUGGGCGCAUCAAGGGCUGGCUCGAACCAAGCCAGUGCCGAGGAGGGCUUGACCUUGCGCGGCGCCAUUGGUCGCAGAUGCGGAGCGAGGUUGGAGCGGAUCUGGAGGUUUCGGCAGCAAGGAGCGAGAAAGGGGAUCUGGAGCAAGGCAAGGAAGAAGCAAUGAAGGCAAGCACUGUCUGCGCUAGCCUUUUUGUCAAGUCGGGCAGUUGCUGAGGCAGCGUGGGGAAGCGGAGACGCCCACGUCCAAUCAACCGCCACGCGUCAACCGAGGCCGCAGGCUUUUGGGGCCCGCGGCGCUCCGCGCUUGACCUUUGGCUUCGCAUCGAAGCCAAGCCCGAGCGCUCCUUGGGCCCGGGGGCUACUGUCAGCAUUCUGGGAACGGGGGUCCGCAGACUUGCCUGCCUGCGGCCCACGGCGUGGCUGAGCUAGCAGGCCUGUGCGGCCCAUCUUCAUCAACAAGGCAUUCAAGACCCUCGCGAGGGGCCAAGCCUCGCGAGGCGGGCGACGCAAGACCUCCUCAGGAGCGGCCUCGCCAGGCAGGCUCACGAGGGGCGGAGAGAUCAAGGCAAGGCAAACCUCGCGAGGUUCUCGUGACGUGAGCCACGACGAUGGAGACUAGGCGGGCGCCAGCGCGCGCAGCGUCCUUGUUUCCUCUUUUGUGCCAAGGGGGCAAGCGCAGGCGUGGAGUACCGAGGCAUCAAGCAAAGGUUUCCAUAUCGGCGCAACGAGACCAAGACCAGCAGGAUGGCAAGACGGAGGUCACUAUGGAGCCCAAGAUGGCGUCACCACCAGAGCCUUUUGCAGGCGAAGACCGCUUUUAUCAGGAUAAGCUGUACUAGCUGUCCCCUUUCAAAUUAGCCAUUGUUGGCUCCCUUCCCACUCAAUAUUUGGGGAGAGGACCAGGGCCUAUAUAAGUAGAACUAGCCACCACAGUAGGGGGCAACGAGUCAAGGACUCAUUCAGAGGCAUCUCACCCACACAAGUUCGUCAAGCACAAAAACACCUCAACCUCAGGAGGCUGUUCUUCCCCUUGUACUGUUCAUCAUCUGCCCAAGAGGCAAUCCACCACCACCACACUGGAGUAGGGUAUUACACCAUAACGGUGGCCCGAACCAGUAUAAAUCUUGUGUCUUUGUCUUGUGAGUUCGUCGAGUUCGUCCGCGAGAUCUUAGAGAGCUAGGGCGUGGAUCGGUAAGGAGGUGAUCUUCGCGCGCACCCCAGUGUUCGAACCUCGAGGGUUUUGCCGGAACCCGUGAUCCGACAUUUGGCGCGCCAGGUAGGGGUGCGCCGAAGCUUCCUUCUGUCGCUCCGCGCCGCGUUGCUCCGUCGUCUCCAUGGCAGACGCUCGCCGCGCUCGUGCUGAGCGCCGGGCUACCCUCGCUGCCCGCAUCGCUCAGACGGCUCCCGUCGGCGGGCCACCUCGUCGUUCCCCGUCGCCUGCCGCCAACGCCGCCACCGGCCCGGCGGGGAACGAGCAGCAAGCAUCCUCGCUGCACCCCUCGGUGCGGCGGGACGGCCGCACCGCCACUCCAUUGCUGACCCCGGCUGGUUCUUCUUCCCAUGCAUGUCGCCCUCCCAUGGACGCACGGGCCGCGCUCCUCAUGGCGCACGAGCUCCUGCGCUACCGACCGGUCGACGACCUCUACGAGGACUGGCUCGACCGCAUUGCCGAGCUUGUACGCACCGCAGGGGGCUCCCCUGCGCCGUCCCUCUCUCCGCCUCGCCCUCCGCCAGCUACGGGCGACGUAGCUCACGGAGCGCCUCCACCACCUCUGCCCCAAGACGGCGCCCUGGCGCCAAGGCGCGCGGCUCCACGACGCGACCCGCCGUGUCCCGCGCCCGCGCGUGAAGAAAGAAGCUGUUAAGAAGUCCCUCCGCCGCAAGAAAAUGCUCCACCGCUCCUCGCACCACCACGCCAGGACCGGCUGCUGUGGCAAGACCACGCGCCACGUGUAGCGGCAGGGCACGGACCCCAUCAAGACCAAGCUCCGCCCCCAAGGCGGGCCCCGGUGACCACAACCGGCUGCCACGCUUUCACCCCCGAGCUGCGUAGCGUCGCCUAGCCGGGCAAGUUCAAGCCGGAUCUGCCUCCUCGCUACGACGGCACCCCCGACCCUGUGGAGUUCUUGCAGCUCUACGAGCUGAGCAUCGAAGCGGCCAACGGUGACGAGAAAGUCAUGGCGAACUGGUUUCCCAUGGCUCUCAAGGAUGGCGCCCGCUCCUGGCUCCUGAACCUGCCACCGGGCUCGAUCUCCUCCUGGGACGAGAUGCGCAACCGCUUCGUCGCCAACUUCCAGGGCACUUGUGACCGCCCGCUGGCUGCGGGUGACCUGCGCCGCGUCAAGCAGCAACCGGGAGAGACCCUCCAGAAGUACAUCCAGCGCUUCAACAAUGUCCGCCUCAAGAUCCCCAAGGUCACGGACGAGGCCAUCAUCCCUGCGUUCUCUGAUGGCGUCCGCGACGUCAAGAUGAAGGAAGAGCUCGCUAUCCACGAGGAGCUGUGCACGUCCCUGGAGUUGUUCAACCUGGCGACCAAGUGCGCAAGAGCUGAGGAGGGGCGCCUCUCCCUCCUCGAGCUCCCAGCCGCAGACCCAGAGGAGAAGAAAGCCAAGGCCAAGGACGUGAAGCGCAAGGGAGCAGCCGUGCUCGCAGCGGAACCAGACACCAAGCAUGGCAGAGACCAAGUAGAGUCGUCCAAGAGCAGCCGUCCGUUCUGCGCCUUCCACAACCUGAAUACCCACAACACCAGUGACUGUCAAGAGCUCAGAGCCAUUCGCGAAGGACGCUUCGGUCGACGCUCCAAGCGCGGCGACCGAGGCUACGGCCGAGGAGGAGGACGUGGUGGCGGACGCUAGGACGACCGUGGCCCGCGCCAGGAGUGGCGCGACCGGCCUCGUGAGGACCGCUGGCAGGAUCAGCCUCGCGAGGGCGCCUGGAGGGACCAGCCUCGUGAGGAUCGUCCUCAAGGCAACACCAGACUCCCUCCGCUGCCGCCACCACCAAGAAGGAAUGACGAACACCAUCAAGACGAGGGGGCUGGGGGCUUCGAGGAACCGCGUGCUAUCGCCUGCAGCUUGGGCGGAGCGCAGGCCCCAGCCUUGCAGCGUACCUUCACGCAAUUUGCUCGUGAAGUGAAUGCAGUCCUCCCCAAGCUCGAAGCCACACGCCCGCUCAGAUGGUCCCAGUGCCCCAUCACGUUCAACUCGGCAGAUCGGCUCAAGUGCGCAGCUACCGCUGGCGCCCUCCCGAUGCUUUGCUCCCCAGUCAUCAGCAACGUGCAAGUUACCAAGACCCUCAUCGACGGCGGCGCAGGGCUCAACGUCCUGUCCGUCAACACAUGCGACAACCUCCAAAUGUCAUAUGACCAGCUUCAGCCUACCAAGCCUUUCUCAGGAGUGACCGACGGUUCCACCACACCGAUAGGGCAGGUCCGCCUCCCUGUCACCUUCGGAGAAUGCAAGAACUAUCGCACCAAGCUCAUCGACUUCGACGUCGCGCACAGCCGUCUGCCGUACAAUGCCAUCCUCGGGUAUCCAGCCCUGGCCAAGUUCAUGGCGGUGACCCAUCAUGGCUACAAUGUCCUCAAGAUGCCAGGAAGCGGCGGGAUCAUCACGGUCCCAUGUGAAGAAAGAGAUGCGGUGUGCUCCCUCGAGCGUGCCUUCCCAGCUGCAGUAAUCGACGACCCCGACAGCAAGGGUGAGGGCCCUCCUGAGGUCAUCCCCAAGAAGAAGAAGCAGCUGCGCCGUGCAGGACCUCAGGAGGGUGGCGUCACAGCCGGAGCCUCGUCAGGAUCAGCGCCCGCUCCGGGGGCGCCUCCCUCCAUCGCAUAGGAAGGCGCGCCCGGCGCCCUUCUCGGGCAGGGCUCGGAGGCUUUCUUCUGGAAGGCCUCAGACCUUGCCCACAUCACGAGGGAGGCGCUUGGGCACCACUUGGAGGCGUGCUUCGCGGCACGUUUCCCUCAGGAGGGCACAGGGCAAGGAUCGCCCACCAUUCAGGAGUUCAUCACCAAGACCACCCAUGAAUUGCAAGACGCAAGGGCCAUGCGCGGCGACCGCCGCUCACGAGGCGCAGCUUCCCAUCCAGGCGAAGAUGCCGGACUGCCGUCUGCAUCGACGUUCCAGGGCUCAACAGGGCCGCUUCUCAGGAGCUUUUCUGGCCUUCGCGCGUGGGACGCUGCGAGGGCCCACCGCACAGCUACGUUCGCAUGCCCUUCGGCCUGCCGAGCGUGUCGUCCGCCUACCAGCGCAACUUGCGGCGCAUACUAGCGGCUCAGGAGGCCAGGCACCACGCCGUCCUGACGGAGAUGGAGACGGUCCUCAAGGAACCACCUGAGCCCUCAGAGCCUCCUGAGGCUCAGGGCCCCGGUGGCUCGUGAGGAGCAACCCCUUCGCUGCGCACCUUCAGCUGCCCAACUCUCCUUCAUCAACAGAACUAGGUGACAUUUUCCAAGUUUAUUUAGCUGGGAGCGCCCCUCGGGCUGCAUCAUUCCUAGGCGCGUGGGUCCGUCCCUGUGGCAUGUAUCCUUUUUAUGUUUUUAGCUUACCGUGUUGGGAGCGCCCCUCGGGCUGCAUCAUCCCCAAGCCGCUCACGCCUGACCCAGUGGCAUGUAUCUCCCAUGCAUUUACUUAAGCCUGCUGCUUUCAUGUUUAACCUACCUAUGAUUACUGCUUGCUCGAUCGCCACCCAUCAUGUGGACCGCGCGCCGACCGUCUUUCUUCAGGACCCUUCGCGUGAGUAAGUUGAGCACGGCGUCUGUGCUCGGGCCCGUCCCUGCAGCGUCGAUAAAUACAAUGGCUGAGCUCUGUUUGGCGGGCCGGCCCCAUUUACAUCACCUCCUGGGGCCGUUGGUGCUUGGCUUUCUCACGUGAUAACCUCAGGAGAUUCGUUCGGCGCAGGUUGUCUGACCACCUCGCAUGACCAGCACAGCGAACAAGAACCAAGACCAGGUGCAACCCGCCUUGAGGUAGGGCCUCGUGAGUCCCGCGCUGGCUCACGAGUGCCUAGAUACACCUCGUCUAGCCCUGUCGUGCAAGCCACGUGUCAGGGCGGGGCUGUACACGCCCCGGGGGCUCUCCGCAGUGGGAGCCCCCCUCCCACGCACAAGUGGAAGCACCAUGCUCCGCGCUGGCUGUCGACACUGCCGAGGAGCGGCUAUGCCCGUGCACAAGCGGAAGCACUAUGCUCCGCGCUCGUGAUAAACAACUGAGGGUGGCUUCACGGUCGUACCAACCUCAGGGAGCCCCAGAGCUCAACGUCCGGCCUCACCGCAACGCCUCCCCUCGGGAGAGCCGCGCGAGGGGGCUGGGCACGGGGGCUGCGCUCGGGUCACGCCCAACCGUACGCCACCCAACCAGGUCUCCCAGACCUGGGGGCUGCGCUCGGGUCACGCCCAAGCGGACGCCACCCAACCAGGUCUCCCGGACCUGGGGGCUGCGCUCGGGUCACUCCCAAGCGCACGCCACCCAACCAGGUCUCCCGGACCUGGGGGCUGCGCUCGGGUCACGCCCAAGCGCACGCCACCCAACCAGGUCUCUCGGACCUGGUCGUCGCACGCCCCUCCCGAGCCGAGCCUCGGCGAGGGCAAAGGUAUAGAGAUUGUUUGCACGUCAAGGGGGACUCCUGGGCAUCGCGACUCAGGAGCCUAACUGGUCACGUAGCCCCUCAUUCCUUGGUCCGUCCUGGUCUCCGGUCAGCCCAACGGCGGUUGAGGUGUGCGCGGGGCCGGGCUCUGCCGACGUAGAACAUUAACCUAUCCUCGUGUACUCUCCCUAUAAGCUGUUUGUGCGUCAAGGGGGACUCCUGAGCAUCGCGACUCAGGAGCCUAACUGGUCAUGUAGCCCCUCACUCCUUGGUCCGUCCUGGUCUUCGGUCGGCCCAACGGUGGUUGAGGUAUGCGCGGGGCCGGGCUCUGCCGACACAGAACACAAAGCAAAUAGGAAGAAAAUCGCAAAAUCUCGAAGCAAAUAUUACAAGACAUAUUGUCCUCACAAUAUCAAAUGAAAGUUUUAACGCCUCCACGAGGCCUGAUGCGUAUUGCAGGAAUGAAGCAGGAAAGCAGCCGCAGGUCACCCCUGGACACCGCCAUCACCUGCAGAAGGUGCUACUCCCUUGGUAGCAUCGUCUUCACCUGCACCACCAGCUGCAGGAUCGGUGGCAUCACUGGUCGAGGGCGCGAGGACGAAGCCGUGGAACUUCUUCAGUAGGGCCUCCACCUGACCUUUCACGGCUGCGGCGGCGGCCGCACAAUGUUCAUCAGUUACAGGCUCCAGCAGCUCAUCGAGACGAGCAUUGGGGUCGCGAAGGUACAGAUGGCUGAAGACACGCGUCAGCGCAACUGAAGAAAGGACACGAGCCUCUGCCUCAGCCAUGGGACCGAUGCCCUCCACGACUUCCUCAAGCGCCUUCACCAAGUGGGGAAGCAGCUGAGCAGGGCCAUCCUCGUCGGUGGUCAGCGGCUUCUCCAGGCCCUUCUCGUACAGUUACUUUAGCGCCACGCUGGACCUCUUCUCAAGAAGCGAGAAGGCCACGCGGUCUUCGGCCAGGACCUUCGCCUUGGCGUCGAGCUCGGCCUCCCUCGCCUUCGCCUUCUGCUCCAGCUCCUCCAGUCGGCUGCGCUCCGCGGCCUGCACCUUCGUCAGCUCCCCCAGCUCGGCAUCGUGGCCCUUGAUGGCGUCCUCUCGAGCCUUCAUCUCCUCCUCCUUCGCUUUGCGGUCACGUGCUUCUUUUGCGCGCUCGUCGUGUAGGCUCUUCAGCUCACCCUCCAGCUUUCGGCAGCGGUCGUGGGCGGCCUCGGCGUCCUUCAGCGCCGCCUCGCGAUCAGCCGCAGCUCUAGUGGCGGCCUGCUUCUCCUUCUUGGAGGCCGCCAUGGCCUGGCUCAACGACGCUCGAACUGCCGAGUCGAAGUGAAGCCAGCUUGAGGCCAGCUCCAGGCGCCCGGCUACUAGGUGCGGGUCCGCGCCUAGGAGGUCUUCCUGCAGCUUGGCCAUCCCUGAGAAGACACGCUCUAAGACUACGGAGGGAGCAGAAGAAUUUGGGGCCAGAGGCGCAGCAGGAGGAGGAGGCGACGUCGUUACCAGAGCCUGGAAGGUCGAGGGCUCCGGAGCCCUUGGGACCUCAUCAGCCGAGUCGGGUGCCGGCACUUCCGGAGACAGCGGGGCCACGGGGGCUGACUCCUCCUGCCGAUGCUCCUCUCGGCCUCGUGAGGGCGACCGGGCUGGGGAGGUGCGAGUGCUGUCGCCUCUCUUCUCCGCAAAGGGGGGAACCAACCCGGCGGCGAUGCUGCUCGUGAAGAAAGGGAAGAAGGUGCUUCCCUCAGGCUCCGGCGCGUCGGAGGCAAGCUGGAGCUCCGUCUUCCCCCUCUCGUUGCUCUCCCCCGCCGUCAGCAAGCGCGUGGCGGCUAGGUUCUUCUCCGUGACGUUGGGCGCAUCAAGGGCUGGCUCGAACCAAGCCAGCGCCGAGGAGGGCUUGACCUUGCGCGGCGCCAUUGGUCGCAGAUGCGGAGCGAGGUUGGAGCGGAUCUGGAGGUUCCGGCAGCAAGGAGCGAGAAAGGGGAUCUGGAGCAAGGCAAGGAAGAAGCAAUGAAGGCAAGCACUGUCUGCGCUAGCCUUUUUGUCAAGUCAGGCAGUUGCUGAGGCAGCGUGGGGAAGCGGAGACGCCCACGUCCAAUCAACCGCCACGCGUCAACCGAGGCCACAGGCUUUUGGGGCCCGCGGCGCUCCGCGCUUGACCUUUGGCUUCGCAUCGAAGCCAAGCUCGAGUGCUCCUUGGGCCCGGGGGCUACUGUCGGCGUUCUGGGAACGAGGGUCCCCAGACUUGCCUGCCUGCGGCCCACGGCGUGGCUGAGCUAGCAGGCCUGUGCGGCCCAUCUUCAUCAACAAGGCAUUGAAGACCCUCGCGAGGGGCCAAGCCUCGCGAGGCGGGCGACGCAAGACCUCCUCAGGAGCGGCCUCGCCAGGCAGGCUCACGAGGGGCGGAGAGAUCAAGGCAAGGCAAACCUCGCGAGGUUCUCGUGACGUGAGCCAUGACGACGGAGACCAGGCGGGCGCCAGCGCGCGCAGCGUCCUUGUUUCCUCUUUUGUGCCAAGGGGGCAAGCGCAAGCGCGGAGUACCGAGGCAUCAAGCAAAGGUUUCCAUAUCGGUGCAACGAGACCAAGGCCAACAGGAUGGCAAGACGGAGGUCACCAUGGAGUCCAAGACGGCGUCACCACCAGAGCCUUUUGCAGGCAAAGACCGCUUUUGUCAGGAUAAGUUGUACUAGCUGUCCCCUUUCAAAUUGGACGUUGUUGGCUCCCUUCCCGCUCAAUAUUUGAGGAGAGGACCAGGGCCUAUAUAAGUAGAACUAGCCACCACAGUAGGGGGCAACGAGUCAAGGACUCAUUCAGAGGCAUCUCCCCCACACAAGUUCGUCAAGCACAAGAACACCUCAACCUCAGGAGGCUGUUCUUCCCCUUGUACUGUUCAUCAUCAGCCCAAGAGGCAAUCCACCACCACCACACUGGAGUAGGGUAUCACACCACAACGGUGGCCCGAACCUGUAUAAAUCUUGUGUCUUUGUCUUGUGAGUUCGCCGAGUUCGUCCGCGAGAUCUUAGAGAGCUAGGGCGUGGAUUGGUAAGGAGGAGAUCUUCGCGCGCACCCCAGUGUUCGAACCUCGAGGGUUUUGCCGGAACCCGUGAUCCGACAUGGACUCCCCCGGCAAGACCCUUGCCGGGGCGGCCUCCGCAGCCCCGACAAGAGCCUUGUCGGAGCAGCUUGCCCAACGCCAGCAGAGCGCGCCACCCUUGAGCCCAAAGGUUCCAACACCACCAACCACAUUGCAACCAAGGCUCGGGAGGCACCUCCAUGGUGGCAUGCAGAUCUUUGUGAAGAUCAUAAGCACACAAGAUCAGACGAGGACCAGAAGACGACGAUCCUCGACAAGAUCCUUGCCGAGGAAAUCCACGAGACCCCCGGCAAGAUCCUUGACGGGGACGACCGCGACACCCCGGCAAGACCCUUGCCGAGGACACCUACGGGGCCACAGCCAAACCCACGUCUGCCAAGACUCCACCGCCGUUCCGAUACAGCUGCCAGCCCAACCAGUUGGGUAGGCAUCUGCGUGGCAACGUGCGGCCUCCAGGCCAACUCAGCAAGCACCUGUGUGGUGGCAUGCAGAUCUUCGUGAAGACCCUACCACCACGCCAUCUCAGCAGCCUGCCAGCCUACGUGGCACUGCAUGCCUCGUUGGCCUGGACGCGUGUCGGAGCAAGGCGGAGCGGCGACGGACGGGACGGGCCUCGUUGCCGUCCCCGAUAAAGCAAUGGGACACCUAAGGAGCACAUUUAAUGUGCCUUGUCCCGUAAUGACAGGCGAUAAGCUUGUACACUGUAUACCUUUCCACCUCCUGUGUGCCACUGUGGCGGCCCCUUUUGACUAUAAAAGGAGGCCCGAGGCGCACUGGAGAAGGAUUCGAAUCUUUUGGACUACGCACGCACCACAGCUAGUUUGAAAGCUCAAGAACACUCAAAUAUACACCAAAGCAGGACUAGGGUAUUACGCAUCCUCGCGGCCCGAACCUGGGUAAAUGAUCCUUGUGUUGACUACCAGACCCGCUCUUUGCACAACCCGUGCCCGCCAACCGUAGAAGGGAUCCCAGUGAUUCCAUAGGUGUCGUUUCCACCGACAUCUUUGGCGCGCCAGGUAGGGGGCGCGGUUGUGGAAAUCCGGUCCAGCAGUUAGUUUAGCAGUCUUUCAUCGCCAUGGCUCCCAAGAAGAAGACGAUCACGGCAAUCGAUUCAUCGGGAGCCGAACGGCCCGUACCAGUGCGGGCGAGUGGUGGGGCGGUCGCGGACGGAAGCCGAGGCGCGGCCCGCGAACACCCACAUCGCUCUGGCAGUCAAAGCCUGGUGAGCGGCAUCGUUCGUGCGUGAGACGACGGGUCGCACGCCACAAUAUCCAAAGACGGAGCCGGGGCCCCCGCAGGCGGUGCGGAGCCCUCCAAGGACAGCGUCGUGCCACCCAUGGGCGGCGCGGCGACUUCCAAGACGCCUAAGCCGGCGCCCACGACGCGCUCUUCCCAAGUUGUGCGCGACGAGCAGCGUCACCACGCUGGUGACCCCGGGUGCCACCGUGGGAAGAGUCCUGUGCCUCACUUGCGGGGCGUAGAAGGCCAGCAUGCACGCCGAGGCGCUGGCGAAAAUGGCACACAACCGCAAGGCCAUGAUAGAGCUCCUUCUAACGUGGUUAGAAAUCGGAGCGCGUCACGGUCCACGCAGCUUUCGCCGCCACCCACACCAGCAGAAGCUUUGGCGCGCGCGCAGUUGCUCCUCGACUUUCCUCCUGCUGCGGAAAAGCUCAAUGAUUGGAGAGCCACCAUCUGGAGCCUCGUCGGCGUUGCCAACAAAGAUGAUCCGCGACCAGCGGGGCCCUCAGGCCGGCGCUCCGUCGAGCCACCGCAUGCCAGUGGUGGAAGGACCGGAGGUGCUGCGGCCACGGUGCACUCUCCCCCCCACAUCAGCUAUCGCGGGUGUCGGUCCGUCGUGAUGACGCUUGUGAUAACAUCUCCAUAGCGUCGUCCGACCCACGGACCCAUCGCGAUCAGCGCCAAGUUCUUCGGGAGCGAGCCCAUGAAGACGCUCGAACUACCAUCGAGCGGCGGCGCGAAGCGCGCCAUCAGUCCGAUAGGCGAGCGGGACCCGCUACGGACCACCCAGCUCCGGGGGGCUCCGGUGGCCUACCUUACGAGGUGGGUUGCCCAGCCUUCACCCGUGAGCUGCGACAGUUCAAGUGGCCCUCCCACCGCACGUUCAAGUCCGACGUUGGCGACAAGUACAACGACAAGACCCACCCGUCGGAGUUCCUCAACAUCUACACCAUCGCGAUGCAAGCUGCUGGAGCUCGCAACGACAAGGUGCUUGCCAAUUACUUCCCGUUGGCACUUAAACCCAAUGUCAUGUCAUGGUUGAUGCACUUCCCGGCGGAUUCCAUUUCUUCUUGGUCGGAUUUGUGUCAUGAGUUCGUUGGCGCCUUCACCGGAGGCCACCAAGCUCAUGGCCAGGCAAGCGAUUUGCAUAUCAUCCCCCAGAAGGAAGGUGAAACCCGGCGCAAGUACAUACAGAGGUUCAGCCGGGUGCAGUACAACAUCCCGGAUGUUCAUCCCGCCGCCGUGAUCAUCGCAUUCCAUCAGAAUGUGCGCAACCGCAAGAUGCGUGAAGAGCUGGCGAUGAACAAGGUCAAAGAUGUGGUCGAACUUUAUGUUCUGGCCGAUAGGUGCGCUCGAGCUGGAGAGGGGAGGAAGUACUCCGGCGAGGACGCCGGCGCGGAAACCGACUCCACAGACGAAGACACAGCCGCCCCGACGAAGAAGGGCCGGCGCCGCAACAGGAAGCGCAAGGGCAAGACCGUGCUUGCCAUCGAGGGAUCCGAGGACACCGACACCGCCAAGAAGGCCAAGGCAGACGACCCCGGCAAGGAAAUUGCCGGGUGCGCUGCUUGCCGGGCCUUAGCGGCUGCCGACAAGCCAGGAGGCUCCGACAAGCAAUACUGCAAGAUCCACCGCACCAAGGGCCAUGACCUCCAAAACUGCCGGCAAGUUGAGCUGCUUGCUGAGAAGCAAAAAGCUGAGUAUGAGAGGCGGGACAAGGAGAAGGGUCAGGAUGGUGCCGAGGGAUCCGGUAAGAAGCGUGGCGGCCAAGGAGGUCGCCGCGACAAGGAUAACCAGCAAAAGAGGCCCGCUUGGGGCCGCGACAAGAAGCAAGAAGAUGAUGAUCGUGACGAGGACGAUGAGUCCGGCAAGCAUGAGUUCCAAAAAGCUACGGAGGCCAUGUGCGUCGACGGUGGCACCUCGCUGCACACCUCUCAUCGCCAGCUCAAGCAGUGGGUGCGUGAGAUCACAGCAGCGGAACCAUCAUUCGAUGCUCAAAAACCACCGAAGUGGUCCAGCACGCCUAUCAUUUUUGACACCGAGGACCACCCUGAUCGCACAACUGCGGUCGGGUGUUUGCCGUUGUUGGUUUCACCAACAAUACGCAACCUCAAGGUGACAAAAAUGCUAGUUGACGGCGGGGCCGGUCUGAACUUGAUCUCGCCUGUUGUGAUCAAAAGGCUACAGAUUCCUGAUGGAGACCUCGAAGAGACAGGCACUUUUCAAGGGGUCAACCCGGGAAGGAGUCAGCCGAAGGGUAAGGUCACGCUGCCCGUGACGUUUGGAGGCGAGUUAAACUAUUGGACGGAGAGGAUUGUUUUCGAUGUAGCCGAGAUCCCCUUGCCCUGCAACGGGAUCCUCGGCCGCCCAACACUGCCAAGUUCAUGGCGGCCUCACAUUACGCCUACAACACACUGAAGAUGCUCGGGCCGAUGACCAUCAUCGCCGUCCCCUCCGACAAGAAGGAUGCGCUGAUCUGCGCUGACCAACUCUACCGGGAGGCAGUUGCGGCGACUGCCGCCAAGGCACUUGCUCCUGCCGCUGAAGCCCCGGGAGGGAAGAAGACCGGCAAGACCUCUCGCACCCACUCCGGCAAGCGCACCUCUUUGGAGUGUAGUGCUCCCAUCGAGGACGUGCCAGAGAGCUCCACCGGCAAGAGCAAGAAAUCCAGAGCUGCACCACCAGAGACCAAGAAGGUGUCCAUCAAGGAGGAUGGCACAGGAGGGGCUUUUACCAUAAGCUCCACCCUCAAAAGCAAAUAGGAAGGCGUGCUCAUCACUUUCCUAUGGGCGAAUGUCGAUGUGUUUGCGUGGCAAGCAUCCGACAUCCCCGGCGUUCCCAGGGAGGUGAUUGAGCACCAUCUUGCUGUAUGUCCUCAUGCGCGAUCCGACAAGCAGAAGGUCAGGAAGCAAGCUCUGGAAUGGCAAGAGUUCAUCACAGAGGAAAUCAGGAAGUUGGAAGCGGCAUGCUUGGUAAGAGGGGUACUCCAUCCGACGUGUCUGGCCAAUCCGGUGGUGGUGCGCAAGGCAAAUGGGAAGUGGAGACUGUGUAUUGAUUACACAAACAUCAAUAAGGCUUGUCCAAAGGACCCUUUCCCGUUACCGCGGCCGGGUGUGACUUGUUAUCAUUCCUCGACGCUUAGUCGGGAUACCACCAGAUCUUCAUGACGAAAGAAGAUGAAGAGAAGACAUCAUUCAUCACCCCAUGUGGUACGUAUUAUUUUUUACGAAUGCCUUUCGGGUUGAAGAGUGCUGGCUCAACGUUUGCAAGAGCAGUCCAAAUUGGUUUUGAGCCUCAGCUGCACAGAAAUAUGGAAGCUUAUAUGGAUGACAUAGUGGUCAAAACCAAGGACAGGGCAACACUCGUACAAGAUUUAGAAGAGAUGUUUGCAAAUUUGCGCAAGAUCAACCUCAAGCUGAACCCUGAGAAGUGUGUCUUCGGCAUUCCGUCCAGCAAACUUCUCGACUUAUCGUGUUCUUUGUGUCACAGCGUGGGAUCGAGGCGAAUCCAGAUAACAUCAAGGCCAUUGAGCAAAUUGAGGCGCCUAAGCAGAUCAAGGAUGUGCGUCGGCUCACUGGUUGCGUUUGAAGCAAAUAUGCCCUAGAGGCAAUAAUAAAGUUAUUAUUUAUUUCCUUAUAUCAUGAUAAAUGUUUAUUAUUCAUGCUGGAAUUGUAUUAACCGGAAACUUGAUACAUGUGUGAAUACAUAGACAAACAGAGUGUCACUAGUAUGCCUCUACUUGACUAGCUCGUUGAUCAAAGAUGGUUAUGUUUCCUAGCCAUAGACAUGAGUUGUCAUUUGAUUAACGGGAUCACAUCAUUAGGAGAAUGAUGUGAUUGACUUGACCCAUUCCGUUAGCUUAGCACUCGAUCGUUUAGUAUGUUGCUAUUGCUUUCUUCAUGACUUAUACAUGUUCCUAUGACUAUGAGAUUAUGCAACUCCCGUUUACCGGAGGAACACUUUGUGUGCUACCAAACGUCACAACGUAACUGGGUGAUUAUAAAUGUGCUCUACAGGUGUCUCCGAAGGUACUUGUUGGGUUGGCGUAUUUCAAGAUUAGGAUUUGUCACUCCGAUUGUCGGAGAGGUAUCUCUGGGCCCACUCGGUAAUGCACAUCACUAUAAGCCUUGCAAGCAUUGCAACUAAUGAGCUAGUUGCGGGAUGAUGUAUUACGGAACGAGUAAAGAGACUUGCCGGUAACGAGAUUGAACUAGGUAUUGAGAUACCGACGAUCGAAUCUCGGGCAAGUAACAUACCGAUGACAAAGGGAACAACAUAUGUUGUUAUGCGGUUUGACCGAUAAAGAUCUUCGUAGAAUAUGUGGGAGCCAAUAUGGGCAUCCAGGUCCCGCUAUUGGUUAUUGACCGGAGACGUGUCUCGGUCAUGUCUACAUAGUUCUCGAACCCGUAGGGUCCGCACGCUUAACGUUACGAUGACAGUUUUAUUAUGAGUUUAUGAGUUUUGAUGUACCGAAGGAGUUCGGAGUCCCGGAUGAGAUCGGGGACAUGACGAGGAGUCUCGAAAUGGUCGAGACGUAAAGAUCGAUAUAUUGGACGACUAUAUUCGGACAUCGGAAAGGUUCCGAGUGAUUCGGGUAUUUUUCGGAGUACCGGAGAGUUACGGGAAUUCGUAUUGGGCCUUAAUGGGCCAUACGGGAAAGGAGAGAAAGGCCCCAAAGGGUGGCCGCACCCCUCCCAUGGACUAGUCCGAAUUGGACUAGGGAGGGGGGGCGCCCCCUUCCUUCCUUCUCCUUCUCCCUUCCCUUCUCCUACUCCAACAAGGAAAGGAGGAGUCCUACUCCCGGUGGGAGUAGGACUCCCCCCUUGGCGCGCCCUCCUCCUAGGCCGGCCGCCUCCCCCCUUGCUCCUUUAUAUACGGGGGCAGGGGGCACCUCUAGACACACAAUUGAUCAACGAUCUUUUAGCCGUGUGCGGUGCCCCCCUCCACCAUAUUACACCUCGAUAAUAUCGUAGCGGUGCUUAGGCGAAGCCCUGCGUCGGUAGAACAUCAUCAUCGUCACCACGCCGUCGUGCUGACGAAACUCUCCCUCAACACUUGGCUGGAUCGGAGUUCGAGGGACGUCAUCGAGCUGAACGUGUGCUGAACUCGGAGGUGCCGUACGUUCGGUACUUGAUCGGUCGGAUCGUGAAGACGUACGACUACAUCAACCGCGUUGUGUUAACGCUUCUGCUUUCGGUCUACGAGGGUACGUGGACAACACUCUCCCCUCUCGUUGCUAUGCAUCACCAUGAUCUUGCGUGUUCGUAGGAUUUUUUUUGAAAUUACUACGUUCCCCAACAGCGUUGCCGCGAUGAGCAGGUUCAUCUCCAAGUCUGCCGAGCGUGCCCUUCCCUUUUUCAAAAUCUUGAAGAAGGCGGGCCCAAUGGAAUGGACCCAGAGGCCAAGGCAGCCCUGCAGGAUUUGAAGAAGUACUUCUCCUCUACGCCAAUACUGGUUGCGCCUAAGCCACAAGAACCGUUGCUGCUAUAUCUAGCGACAACGAACAUGGUCAGCGUCGCGCUAGUGGCGCAGAGGGAGGUCGAUGAAGAGGCAGUGGCAACGGCAGGGCUGGCGGAUGGCAAACCAGAGCUCCCCCCGGCAGGGCCUGGUGCCGGUAAGGCAAGGCCCUGGCGGAGUCUGGCGCUGGCGAAGCAGAAGCGACGCAACCAAAUGAAAUAGUGCAGAAGAAGAAGAUGAUGCAGCACCCGGUUUACUUUGUCAGCUCCCUCUUGCAGGGGGCUAGGUCAAGGUACUCCGGUGUGCAGAAAUUGCUCUUCGACCUCCUUAUGGCCUCGAGGAAGCUGCGUCAUUACUUCCAAGCACACGAAAUCACCGUCGUCACCCGCCUCCCAUUGCAACAGAUAUUGCAUAACCCAGACGCAACCAGGAGGAUCGUGGAAUGGGCCUUGGAACUAUCGAGCUUUGGUUUGAAGUUUGAAAGUACUUCGACAAUCCAGAGUAGAGUCUUGGCAGAGUUCAUUGCAGAAUGGACCUCAACGCCCGACGAGGAGAUCCAGGAGACCACUCUUCCCGGCAAGGGAACAAGUCGCAACUGGAUUAUGUACUUUGACGGGGCUUUCUCGCUGCAAGACGCCGGUGCUGGUGUGCUGCUCGUUGCACCCACCGGAGAGCACCUCAAGUAUGUAGUCCAGAUGCACUUUCCCAGGGAGAUGUCGACGAACAACACUGCUGAAUACGAGGGGUUGCUUGCCGGUCUCAGGAUCGCGGCAGACCUCGGAAUCAAGAAGCUCAUCGUCAGGGGUGAUUCACAGCUUGUCGUCAAGCAAGUUAACAAAGAUUAUCAAAGCCCAUUGAUGGAGUCCUACGUAGAUGAAGUGAGGAAGCUGGAAGAGCGUUUUGAUAGUAUACAAGCAGAGCAUGUUCCCUGAGUAGAGAACGGCAUCGCCGACUACUUGUCGAAAUGUGCUGCCUUCAAAUUGCCUGUGGAACCAGGUACUUUUGUGCUUCGGUUAACUCAACCAUCCGUUGAACCAUCAACAGGGCAGAACAAGCGGAGGAAAUCGGGCCCCGGCAAGUACUUUCCCACCGAGCUCCCAGGAGCCACCGGUAAAGAUGUUUCUGUGGACACUGAGCCUGCCAUUGGGCAACAGACUCCGGCAGGGCGUCAAGCCCUGGCCGUAGAGACAACCGCUCCCAUGGCGAAGGAAAUGCCUUUGGUCCUUGUUGUCGAGCCCUAGGCUCCGGCAUGGGCACAACAUACUGUCCGGUUCCUCCAAACAUGGGAACUCCCUAAGGAGCAGGAAGAAGCGAAGAAAGUAGCCCGUCAGUCUACCAUGUAUCAGUUCAUCGACGAUGUUCUGCACAGAAAAAUACCAAACGGUGUGAAAUUGAAGUGCAUUCCCCGGGAGGAAGGACUGGAGCUGUUGGCAGAGAUACACGGAGGCAUAUGUGGCUCCCACAUAGGGUCGAGGGCCCUUGCCGGCAAGGCAUUCCGGCAAGGUUUCUUCUGGCCCACAACCCUCCAGGAUGCAACAGCGCUAGUAACCAAGUGUAAAGCGUGCCAGUUCCAUUCAAAGAAGCUUCAUCAACUAGCUCAAGCUCUCCAAACAAUCCCUCUUUCCUGGCCAUUCUCGGUCUGGGGGCUCGACAUACUGGGUGUUGGGGAACGUAGCAGAAAUUCCAAAAUUUUCCUACGUGUCACCAAGAUCAAUCUAGGAUAUGCUAGCAAUGAGAGGGGAGGAGUGCAUCUACAUACCCUUGUAGAUCGCGAGCAGAAGCGUUCAAGAGAACGGGGUUGAUGGAGUCGUACUCGUCGUGAUCCAAAUCACCGAUGAUCCUAGCGCCGAACGGACGGCACCUCCGCGUUCAACACACGUACGGAGCGGGGACGUCUCCUCCUUCUUGAUCCAGCAAGGGGGAGGAGAAGUUGAUGGAGAUCCAGCAGCACGACGGCGUGGUGGUGGAAGUAGCGGGAUCCCGGCAGGGCUUCGCCAAGCGCAAGCGGGGAGGAAGAGGUGUCACGGGAGGGAGGGAGGCGCCAGGGCUUGGGGUGCUGCUCCCAUGCGCCUCCCCACUAUAUAUAGGGGUGGAGGGGGCUGGUUUCUUGCCCUCCAAGUCCAUUGGGGCGUUGGCAAAGAUGGGGGAAAGAAAUCCCAUCAUUUCCCUUCCCCACCGAUUGUUAUCCCCCCUUUUUAGGGAUCUUGAUCUUAUCCCUUCGGGAUAUGAUCUUAUUCCUUCUAUAAGGUGGGAUCUUGGUGCGCCUUGACCAGGGGUGUGGGGCCUUGCCCCCAGUACCCACGUUCAUGUGGGUCCCCCAUGCAGGUGGGCCCCACUUCGGAAUCUUCUAGAACCUUCCCGGUACAAUACCGAAAAAUCCCGAACAUUUUCCGGUGGCCAAAAUAGGACUUCCCAUAUAUAAAUCUUUACCUCCGGACCAUUCCGGAACUCCUCGUGACGUUCGAGAUCUCAUCCGGGACUUCGAACGACUUUCGGAUUUCCGCAUACUAAUAUCUCUACAACCCUAGCGUCACCGAACCUUAAGUGUGUAGACCCUACGGGUUCGGGAGACAUGCAGACAUGACCGAGACGACUCUCCGGUCAAUAACAAACAGCGAGAUCUGGAUACCCAUGUUGGCUCCCACAUGUUCCACGAUGAUCUCAUCGGAUGAACCACGAUUUCGAGGAUUCAAUCAAUCCCGUAUACAAUUCCCUUUGUCAAUCGGUACGUUACUUGCCCGAGAUUCGAUCGUCGGUAUCCCAAUACCUUGUUCAAUCUCGUUACCGGCAAGUCACUUUACUCGUACCGUAAUGCAUGAUCCCGUGACCAAACACUUGGUCGCAUUGAGCUCAUUAUGAUGAUGCAUUACCGAGUGGGCCCAGAGAUACCUCUUCGUCAUACGGAGUGACAAAUCCCAGUCUCGAUUCGUGCCAACCCAACAGACACUUUCGGAGAUACCUGUAGUGCACCUUUAUAGCCACCCAGUUACGUUGUGAUGUUUGGUACACCCAAAGCAUUCCUACGGUAUCCGGGAGUUGCACAAUCUCAUGGUCUAAGGAAAUGAUACUUGACAUUAGAAAAGCUCUAGCAAACGAACUACACGAUCUUGUGCUAUGCUUAGGAUUGGGUCUUGUCCAUCACAUCAUUCUCCUAAUGAUGUGAUCCCGUUAUCAAUGACAUCCAAUGUCCAUAGUCAGGAAACCAUGACUAUAUGUUGAUCAACGAGCUAGUCAACUAGAGGCUCACUAGGGACAUGUUGUGGUCUAUGUAUUCACACAUGUAUUACGGUUUCCAGUUAAUACAAUUAUAGCAUGAACAACAGACAAUUACCAUGAACAAGGAAAUACAAUAAUAACCAUUUUAUUAUUGCCUCUAGGACAUAUUUCCAACAGUUUCCCACUUGCACUAGAGUCAAUAAUCUAGUUCACAUCACCAUGUGAUUAACACUCAAAGUUCACAUCGCCAUGUGACUAAUACCCAAGAGUUUACUAGUCAAUAAUCUAGUCCACAUCACCAUGUGAUUAACACUCAAUGAGUUCUAGGGUUUGAUCAUGUUAUGCUUACGAGAGAGGUUUUAGUCAACGGGUCUACAACAUUCAGAUCCGUGUGUGCUUUACAAAUCUCUAUGUCAUCUUGUAGAUGUAGCUACCACGCGCCACUUGGAACUAUUCCAAAUGACUGCUCUACUAUACGAAUCCGGUUUACUACUCAGAGUCAUCCGGAUUAGUGUCAAAGUUUGCAUCGACGUAACCCCUUACGACGAACUCUUUUACCACCUCCAUAAUCGAGAAAAUUCCUUAGUCCACUAGAUACUAAGGAUAAGUUCGACCGCUGUCAUGUGAUCCAUUCCUGGAUCACUCUUGUACCCCUUGGCUGACUCAUGGCAAGGUACACUUCAGGUGCGGUACACUGCAUAGCAUACUGUAGAGCCUACGUCUAAAGCAUAGGGGACGACCUUCGUCCUUUCUCUCUCUUCUGCCGUGGUCAGGCCUUGAGUCUUACUCAAUACUCACACCUUGUAACACAGCCAAGAACUCCUUCUUUGCCGAUCUAUUUUGAACUCCUUCAAAAUCCUGUCACGGUAUGUAUUCAUUUGAAAGUACUAUUAAGUGUUUUUGAUCUAUCCUUAUAGAUCUUGAUGCUCAAUGUUCAAGUAGCUUAAUACAGGUUUUCCAUUGAAAAACACUUUUCAAAUAACCCUGGAUGCUUUCCAGAAAUUCUACAUCAUUUCUGAUCAACAAUAUGUUAACAACAUAUACUCAUCAAAAAUUCUAUAGUGCUCCCACUCACUUCUUUGGAAAUACAAGUUUCUCAUGAACCUUGUAUAAACCCAAAAUCUUUGAUCAUCUCAUCAAAGCGUUCAUUCCAACUCCGAGAUGCUUACUCCAAUCCUUAGAAGUAUUGCUGGAGCUUUGCAUACUUGUUAGCAUCUUUCAGGAUUGACAAAACCUUCUGGUUGUAUCACAUACAACCUUUCCUCAAGAAAAUCGUCGAGGAAACAAUGUUUUGACAUCCUAUCUGCAAGAUUUCAUAAAUAAUGCAGUAACUGCUAAUAUAAUUCUAACAGACUCUUAGCAUCGCUACGAGUGAGAAAGUCUCAUCGCAGUCAACUCCUUGAACUUGCCGGAAAACAUCUUAACGACAAGUCGAGCUUUCUUAAUGGUGACACUUACCAUCAUUGUCUGUCUUCCCUUUAAAAUCCAUCUGUACCCAACAGCCUUACGACCAUCAAGUAGUUCUUUCAAAGUCUAUACUUUGUUUUCAUACAUGGAUCCUCUCGGAUUUUAUGGCCUCGAGCCAUUCGUCAGAAUCCGGGCCCACCAUCGCUUCUCCAUAGCUCGUAGGUUCAUUGUUGUCUAGCAACAUGACUUCCAAGACAGGAUUACGUACCACUCUGAAGUAGUACGCAUCCUUGUCGUCCUAUGAGGUUUGGUAGUGACUUGAUCUGAAGUUUCAUGAUCACUAUCAUAAGCUUCCACUUCAAUUGGUGUAGGUGCCACAGGAACAACUUCCUGUGCCCUGCUACACAUUAGUUGAAGUGACGGUUCAAUGACCUCAUCAAGUCUCCACCAUCCUCCCACUCAAUUCUUUGAGAGAAACUUUUCCUCGAGAAAGGACCCGUUUCUAGAAACAAUCACUUUUGCUUCCAGAUCUAAAAGGUAUACCCAACUGUUUUGGGUAUUCUAUGAAGAUGCAUUUAUCCGCUUUGGGUUCGAGCUUAUCAGCCUGAAACUUUUUCACAUAAGCGUCGCAGCCCCAAACUUUUAAGAAACGACAUCUUAGGUUUCUCUAAACCAUAGUUCAUACGGUGUCGUCUCAACGGAAUUGCGUGGUGCCCUAUUUAAAGUGAAUGCGGCUGUCUCUAAUGCCUAACCCAUAAACGAUAGUUGUAAUUCGAUAAGAGACAUCAUGGUAUGCACCAUAUCCAAUAGGGUGCAGUUAUGAUGUUCGGACACACCAUCACACUAUGGUAUUCCAGGCGGUAUUAGUCGUGAAACAAUUUCCACAAUUUCUUAAUUGUGUGCCAAACUCGUAACUCAGAUAUUCAUCUCUAUGAUCAUAUCACAGACAUUUUAUCCUCUUGUCACGACGAUCUUCAACUUCACUCUGAAAUUACUUGAACCUUUCAAUAAUUCAGACUUGUGUUUCAUCAAGUAAAUAUUCUCAGCAUCUACUCAAAUCAUCUGUGAAGUAAGAACAUAACGAUAUCCACUGCGUGCCUCAGCACUCAUUGGACUGCACACAUCAAAUGUAUUACUUCCAACAAGUUGCUCUCUUGUUCCAUCUUACUGAAAACGAGGCCUUUCAGUCAUCUUGCCCAUGUGGUAUGAUUUGCAUGUCUCAAGUGAUUCAAAAUCAAGUGAGUCCAAAUGAUCCAUCUGUAUGGACUUUCUUCAUGCAUAUAUACUAAUAGACAUGGUUCGCAUGUCUCAAUCUUUUCAAAAACAAGUGAGUCCAAAGAUCCAUCAACAUGGAGCUUCUUCAUGCGUUUUAUACCAAUAUGACUCAAGUGGCAGUGCCACAAGUAUGUGGUACUAUCAUUACUAUCUUAUAUCUUUUGGCAUGAACAUGUGUAUCACUACGAUCGAGAUUCAAUAAACCAUUCAUUUUAGGUGCAAGACCAUUGAAGGUAUUAUUCAAAUAGACAGAGUAACCAUUAUUCUCCUUUAAUGAAUAACCGUAUUGCGAUAAACAUAAUCCAAUCAUGUCUAUGCUCAACGCAAACACCAAAUAACAAUUAUUCAGGUUUAACCCCAAUCUCGAUGGUAGAGGGAGCAUGCGAUGCUUGAUCACAUCAACCUUGGAAACACUUCCAACACAUAUCGUCAUCUCACCUUUAGCUAGUCUCCGUUUAUUCCGCAGCUUUUAUUUCGAGUUACUAACACUUAGCAAC